rnacentral:lncRNA from 1 species
AACGCCUCUUUUUUUUUUUUUUUUUUUUUUUUUUUUUUUUUUUUUUUUUUUUUUUUUUUUUUUUUUACUUUUAACGUCCAACGGUUAGCUGAAAAAGUGCUAUUUAAAAACUGAGAAUUUUAUUAUGUGGCCCUGCUUUAUGACCGUUAGUGAUCCCCACCACAAACUCCAUCAUUGACGCAGCCAACUCCGGCACAACUCCCUCUAUCAUCCAACGGUCCAAAUACUCUUUCACUUUUCUUUAUUUCUUUCUCUUUUCUCCAACUAAAGUUCUAAUUCUAAUCACAUUUGAUAUUUGCACAAAAAAAAAAAAAAAAAAAAAAUCACAUUUGAUAUUAUUAGCAUUAAGGGACUAAUAAACAUAUAAAAAUUUAUGAUUCUUGACAGAAAAGGUUGAUAACAUUUAACUAUUAAUUGGAGCACACAAAAAAAACAUUUAACUAUUAAAUCUUUAUAUAAGUUAGAAGACAAUUCAGAAAACAACUAGUAUAAUAUUUACUAAGUUCACACUUUUUUUAUCAAAUCCAACGGUCCAAAGAUUCGUGUACUAAUCCACUUCGGAUAUUAAAAUUGGAUUAGAAAAAGUGUGUAAACUUUAAAUAGAGACAAAACUAAAAACUGAGAAGAAAACGGAUACUUGUAGCUUUUAUUUAACUUUAAUUAUCCCCUUCAUUACAAAAAGACCGUUACGAUAUAUAUAAAAGUCUUCGUUCACACACAGUAUCGAAGAAAACAACAACAGUUUUGAUCACUCUCUCUCUUUACUUCUUCUUCCCAAGCUUUUGAUGGCCGAAACCCUAGAACCCUCCCUCGUCGGGGAAAUCGACACUUCUGCACCAUUCGAGUCCGUGAGAGAAGCCGCCACUCGCUUUGGCGGAUUUGGUUUCUGGAAACCUUCUUCCCUUAACAUCUCUGAAGCUUCUCAGGUCUUAGUUCUCUCUUUCUCCCUCAAAGUCUCUGUUUUCUUCUCAUUGAUUUUGUCCAGCUCUUUGCUUUUAGGGUUUCUAAUUGAAAUGGGUCAUUAGAUUCAUCAAUUUUUAGAAAGUUCUUGUCUUUAGUUGUUUCUUCUGAUGCGAAAGUUUGAAUUUUUUUAUGGUUGCAGAACGAAGUGGAUGACGUAGCUGGUAUGGUGGCGAAAGCGAGUGAGUUAGAGAAGGAACUGAUUGCUAAAGAAGGAGAAACUUUAAAGGUGUUGAAGUCACUCGAGUCCACCAAAGCGAUCGUUGAAGAGCUUAAAUCAAAGCUACAGAACAAGGAAGAGAAAGAAAACUGUGACAUGAAUGUUUUCAAGGAAUUGAAUCAAGCGAAGAUGAAUCUGUGCAAGACAACUAAAGAUUUGGCAGCUAUUCGUGAGUCUGUUGAGUUACUGAACAAGAGACUGGAAGAGGAAAGAGCUGCACUUGAGAAGACACGAGAGAGACUUAACUCUGAGAAUGCAGCUGAAAUGUCCAAGGAGAUUCAGAGACUAAGUUAUGAAGCUAAGGAGUUUAGUAGAACAGGAGAGAAUGCUCGUUAUGCGGUUGAUAAAGCUGUGGUUGAGAUUGAACAAACGAGAAACAAGAUUGAAGCUGCUGAGAUGCGUUUGAUCGCUGCUAGAAAGAUGAAGGAAGCUGCUAGAGCGGCUGAAGCAGUUGCAAUCGCUGAAAUCAAGGCGGUUACUAGAAGAGGAAGAAGAAGAAGAAGAAGAGGAAAUGAUGAGGAGACGAUGCAUGAGGAGAUUCUUGAGACGAUUCAAGAAACAGCUAGAGAAAUCAGAAGCAGUAGGAGGACACUUGAAGAAGGUUUGGAGAAAGUGAAUAUCACGAAAAUGGAAGCAGAAGAAGGAAAAUGGCGGUGGACAGAACAGAGGAGGAGAUCAUCAUGUUCGGCCAAGUUCAAGAACCCUUUUAUGAUGGAUGUAAAUGGUCUUAAUAUGAUGAUGAAUGGUGAUGGGACCUCGUCCUCAGUUGCUGUCUUGAAACCAACAAUGUCGAUUGGGCAGAUACUCAGUAGGAAACUACUUCUUGCGGAUGAGUCGGCGAUGAUGAUGAACGGGAGAGUUUCGUUGGGUCAGAUUCUUGGAAAGACUAACUUUGGAGAUAGAAAUGGUCAAGGGAAGGAGAAGGAAAAAAGGUUGAAUGGGAAGAGGAAGCGGUUUGGAUUCGCAAACUUGUCUGUGAUGCUGAAUAAAGAGAGUAAGAAGAAGAAUAAGAAGAAGAAGAUAGCUUUGAACUUAAUGUGAUGAGUGAGUGAGUGAUUGGAAUGGUCUUAUCUUUAUCUUUUUUUCUUAGGAGUUGUUAGGUGUUUUCCUGCAGUUGUAAGCAAUUGUGUUUCUAUUUGUUUUCAAAUUAAGUGGAUUAGAGAGUCUCACUUUAGCACCAAUUACUACCAAAGUUGUUGUGUCAUGAAUGAUUUUGAGAAGAUAAAACAAACAUAUGAAAUCUUUGAGAUGGACUUGUUCUUGCAGGAAGCUAGCAAUGUUUCUGUAGCAGAUUAGGUGUUUUAGUGUUGGCUCUUUGUUGGGUGAUGUGUUAAAAACUGUAAUAGAAAAAACCAAAGUCUUAAUUAUGCUGUUUUGAAGAAAAAGAAAAAACAAACCAAUAAAUAGGGAACGUUAUAAAUAGUCUGAAACAAGACCUGUAGACUAAAACAACUUCUUCAAGAAAACAUUUUCGGCUUCUACGUGGGGUUUCUCACCUUCUUCUGUGAUAAGAACUUGGGUCAAACCAGUUGCGGCCUUAACUUUGGAUAUGGCAAGAAACCUUUGUCCAGGAGGGGACAGUACUUGUUUUGGUAGAUAUAGACCAACUUUGGAAAAUGUUUGGCCUCGACUCUGAUCUAUAGUCAUGGCGAAUGCAAGUGUGAAAGGAUACUGGGUACGCCGCAUUGGGGUAAAAAAACCUUUCUCAGAGAACAUGUGCAUCUUUUCGAUCAGGAAUUCCUGGGGACGAGGACUACGUUGUGAUGUUGCAAAUCUGGUCACAAGCAUAGAAUCACCCAACUGAAGAAUUUGAAGUCUAGUCCCAGUACUUAACCCACGGCUAGGAUCAACGUCAGCAAGUAACAUGAUGGGAGCACCAACCUUGAGUCUCAAAAUCUGGUUAGGCACUCCGGGGACUGUGACGCUACUAAACAUACUUGAAAUUAUUAACAUGUAAUCGACUGGGCUUGGGGUAUCCUCAUCCUCCGGAACUAGGCAGUCAUCGCAGUGAGAUAAUAUCUCUUUACCUUUAUGUGAUGAUAUGAAACCAAGUCGUAGUUAUAGUAUGUGCAGAAAAUGGUGGCUAUAGUUUAGAAAAAACCGGAUUUUACCUGGUAAUUGUGAAAGCAUAUAGGCAUUAAUCUGAUCCACAUCAGAUUGAGUAUGACACAAAAUAACCGUGUCGCGGCAAUAGGAAUAGUAGGAGGACUGUUCACGAAAAGAGUCUCCAUAAACUUGGCUCACUAUUGUUACGAUAGGAUCAGGGCACUCAAUUAGCGACGCAUUUUCAGGGAUAUCAAUAUCAGCGUGAUCUCCAUCAUUAAUCUUUUCAUCAUUAAUAUCCUUAUUCCAUUCAGUUUGGACUAGGCCUGGGCACAUAAUCCAAAUCCGAAAAAUUCGAUCCGAACCGGUUUCGGUUUUUUAGUAAAACUCGUUCGAAUUUCAUGUAGAAUGAGAUUCGGGUUUCAAUUCGGAUCGGAUUAUAACUGAAAUCCAAUCGGAUAUCCACUAAACCAAAACAAUACAUAAAUAUUAUUAGUUUUAUGUCAAUUCGGAUCGGAUACUUCGGAUAUUUUGAGUUUGAUCGGAUAAAUCAUGGGUAAUUCCGAUAUCUUGGAUGAUUUGGAUCGGGUUAUUCGGAUAUUUCGGAUUUGAUCAAAUAAUUCGGAUCCAAAUCCGAACCGAAACCGAAUUUAUUUAUGUUUCGGUUACACUUCGGAUUUUCGAAAAAAAAUUGUGAACCGAUCCGAAUGUUGGAAAGACUAACUUUGGAGAUAGAAAUAGUGAAGGGAAGGAGAAGGAAAAAAGGUUCUAUGGGAAGAGAAAGCGGUUCGGAUUUGCAAACUUGUCUGUGAUGUUGAAUAAAGAGAGUAAGAAGAAGAAGAUAGCUUUGAACAUAAUGUGAUGAGUUAGUGAUUAAAAUGGUCUAAUCUUUGUCUUAUGGUGAUCAAUUGUGUUUUUCGAUGUGCAUUGGUUAUAUGCUAAAUAUUGAAAUGAGAUUUGAUUUUGUUUUACAAGAUUUGUUAUAUUCUUUAUGCUAAUUCCAAAGUCCAAACUAAUUGCAUAUUGGAAGAUAAUAGCCACAUGCCGGUGAGAUGACGUGGAAGAUAAUAGCUUGUAGUGUGAAAAUACCUCAUUGACCUUUCGACAAUCCACGCAAUCGACUAAUUCCACGGAUCUGCUUACGCAUUGAUUCUUGAUAACCCUCUUCUUCUUCUCCUACACAUACCAGAUUCUACCAAUCAUUUGCUCAAAAAGGUAAAAUCUUUCUCUACAAUUUCGAUUGAAUCUUUUUUAUUUCGAUAUAUCUCUCGUAAAGAGUCUUACUUGAAUCUUCUUUCUGAUCUUUUGUUCUUUAUCAGGAAUCAUGGGUCUUAAAGCUGGAACCUUUGUGCUUCUCUUGUUGGGUUUGAUCUUGGUUUCUGACGCUAGAUCUUUUGUUGACUCCACCCUCUCAGGUAAGAAAUUAGACAAAAUUUAGUACUCAUGCUUGAUUGUAUAGAAGCUUGCUCUUUAGGGUUAAAGUUUGAUACUUUUAAUGAAAUAGUUUGUUUUUAUGGGCUGGAAAUGAUGAGGUAGUUGUAUAUUUCAACAACCCAAGUUCUCCUAAAGCUAAAAGAAUGGCUCAGACUCAGAUAGUCUUAUUUUGAGUAGAAGUUUUAAGACUAUUCAACUUUUCUUUUGCCUUUGUGUAGAAAAAGUUUCCAACAAGGAAGAUGUUUGCACUCUGUGUGAGGAAUAUGUUACUGAUGCUCUCAGCUACCUUGAGAAAAAUGUCACACAGGCGGAGAUUAUUGAGGAUCUUCAUGAUCGGUGUUCCCAAUUGCGCGGAUUUUCGCAGCAGGUUCUCUCAUUCUGCUGAUGCUGAACCUUACACUUGGACUGUUUGUUUUGUUAUAUCAACUGUGUUGAAUAAAUAGUAUGUUUUUUAUUUGAUGCAGUGCAUAACUUUGGUUGAUUACUAUGUUCCUCUCUUCUUCUUACAACUGGAGUCGUUUCAACCUCACUAUUUCUGCAAGAGGAUGAAUCUUUGUGGCAAAGUUGUAGCUCUUGUCGAAGAAGUCCGUCAGGACAGUUGCGGUGUAUGCCACAGGACUGUUUCAGAGAUUCUCAUCAAACUACAAGAUCCCGAUACACAGGUUAGUAGUAACUACAAGAUGAUGACUUUAUGUCUUCUAUCACAGGUUUUAUUUUGUCAUUUAUGCAUUCUGUGUUAUAGACUCAUAGCACUCUGAUUAAGUCAUAACGUAAGAGUACCCACUAUCACAGUGCAAGCUGCUAUGCCCUCGUGUAGUCGUGUUUGUGUUGUUAUUACGUUCUAAAUUCACUCUAACUGAAAAAAUAGUUUAAAUAUCAGGGCCCCUGAUUCAGGGAUUUUUGUAAACAAUCCUCGUGAAGACUUUUCUUUUAUACUGAUGAUGAGUUUUAUAUACUGACUUUGUGUUCUCGUGAUUAUCUAGCUGGAUAUCGUUGAACUGCUUCUCAAGGGAUGCAAAUCACUCAAGAACUACGAGAAGAAGGUUAGAAUGAUCAACUCAAAUCCAUAACAUCGCCUUUACGUGUUUGCAAAUUAACCAUUUCAUUUUACUUUUUCUGUUGAUGUUCUUCUCGAACUUGUGCAACACAAUUGCAUGAUCACAUACGUAGUAGUUAGCUUAGGUUUUUCUGAUUUUACUGUGUUGUGUCUUGUGUUAUUACAGUGCAAGACGUUGGUAUUCGAAUAUGGACCUCUGAUCCUCGUAAAUGCAGAGGAAUUCCUAGUGAAAAACGACGUCUGCACACUCUUACGCGCAUGUCCGGCUGAGAAAUCGGUUCUAAGGCAGCCAGAGUUGGCGGAUUCUUGAAUGUUAAAAACGUUGCCAUAGCAGGACUUAAUUCCUUAUAAGUAGGAACACGAGCUGCUCCAUAAGAAUGGUUGCAGACUUUGUGUAGUGUCUAUAUGUAUGGAUUCAAACACACCCUCCAAAUGUCUCUUUGCGUUUGUGUAAAUAAUGAUCGCUACAACAAUUGUACCUCUACCAUGAUAUCACUGUAUUCUAUUUCAGGUUUGUUACAUUUUAUAAGAAUGAUAUUUUUUUAUGUUUCUAUCUCACCGCUGGUGUUUGACUGUUUUCAAUUCAUUUUUGGCAAAAAACCUUUGGUAAGUUUGUGUUGUGUUGGAAUUAACAACUCUUCCUUUUAGCCUUGUAGAGGAUUUAUCUACACAAAAUUAUGUGUUUCAAGAAUAAAACCAUGUUUGUUUUUUGGCAGUUGCUGAUGGCCGCCAAAUCUAAAAUCUGAGACGCUCAAAUUAUUAGCGUUUAAAAUUUAAUUACUUAAACCCAAAAUCAAAAAGGAUUUUUACAUAGAUACACCAGGAUUAUUAUCUAAAAAGCCAUUUUUGCUCAACCAUUUUUUAAAAUUGCCAUUUUCUCAACAUUCUUUCAAAUUUGCCAUUUUUGCCAUUUUUAAAAACUAAAAAUUUGGAAAAAUAAUUUCAUAAAACAUAUACUUUAUAACAAAAACUAUACCCUACAAAAAACUGGAACUUAAUAAACCCAAGCAUUAUGUGUAAAUUUGUGUUUUUGUUUACAAAAAAAUGGCAAUUUUCAAAUUUUUUUGAUAAAAUGGCAAAUUCUAUAAAAGCCAUCAAAAUAAGUCCUUUAUUCGUAAUUGAUUCUAGAUACACCAAUAUCUCUAUAGUGUGCCCCACGAUAUUGGUACUAGGACUGACGUGGCCAAAAGUGUCUCAAGAUUUGACCAAGUCAUAUAAGAUUAGUGAAUUCCAUUGGAAUAAUUAUAAUUUGAUGCCCCAACGACUCUCGCCUCUCGAGACAUUUUUAGUAAUAAUGAAUGAUUAAAAACGGUCGAAAUAACUUUAUAGCCGUUGGUCUUGGUCAUGUUUCUCUCGCUUACCGUUUUUUUGGCGCAGGACCAACAAGUAAAAACUAGCCGUUACCCUUACAAUAAACAUAAACUAAACACUUUGUCUUUGUCUUCUUCCUCGUCACUCCAACCAUAAUUAGUCUUUUGCUACAACACUCACUCACUCACUUGUUCAUUUCCUCUCUCACUAAAAAUUAAUCUUCUCUCUCUCUCUCUCUAUCUCUAUCUCCAAAAAACAGAGGAAGCAGAACAACCCAAGAACUCAAGCUCCCUGCUCUUCUCAUCUUUCUUCUACGUUUUCUAUUUUUUUUUCUUCUUUACUCUUUGAUUCUUUUGAAAUGAAUCAUCUUUUCAAAAACCCAUUUCGGAUUUAUGAAAUUAGUUUCCAUUUCUGCAUGAGUCUCCUCUUGUGUUUCUUACUCUUCUCUGCUAGAGCUGUUGCAGGUGGUGGUGGUGGUGGUCACUCUUGGGAUGGAAUCGUGGUGACUCAAGCGAACUAUCAGGCACUCCAAGCAAUCAAACACGAACUCAUUGACUUCACCGGAGUUCUCAGAAGCUGGAACAACUCUGCCUCCUCUGAAGUUUGCUCUGGCUGGGCUGGAAUCAAAUGCCUCCGAGGUCAAGUGGUCGCCAUUCAGCUCCCUUGGAAGGGACUUGGUGGCACUAUCUCCGAAAAGAUUGGACAGCUUGGGAGUCUCAGAAAACUUAGCCUCCACAACAAUGUUAUCGCCGGUUCGGUUCCUCGUUCCCUUGGCUACCUCAAGAGCUUGCGUGGAGUCUAUCUCUUCAACAAUCGCCUCUCCGGUUCCAUCCCAGCCUCACUGGGUAACUGCCCUCUUCUCCAGAAUCUUGAUCUUAGCAGUAACCAGCUAACUGGAAUCAUCCCAACUAGUCUUGCUGAAUCCACGAGGCUCUAUAGGCUCAAUCUCAGCUUCAAUUCACUGUCCGGUCCCCUUCCGGUUAGUGUAGCCAGAGCAUAUACCCUCACUUUUCUCGAUCUUCAGCAUAACAACCUCUCUGGUUCGAUACCCAACUUUUUGGUUAAUGGCUCCCACCCUCUCAAAACGUUGAAUCUUGACCAUAAUCUCUUCUCUGGAGCUAUUCCUUUGUCUCUCUGCAAGCAUGGUCUGUUGGAAGAGGUUUCUUUAAGCCAUAACCAGCUCUCAGGUUCUAUUCCCAGAGAAUGUGGAGCUCUUCCACACCUCCAGAGCCUUGAUUUUUCUUACAAUUCAAUCAACGGAACCAUCCCAGACAGUUUCUCCAACCUUUCAUCUCUGGUUUCACUAAACCUCGAAAGCAACCACCUCAAAGGCCCAAUCCCAGAUGCCAUUGAUAGACUGCAUAACAUGACAGAGCUUAACAUCAAGAGAAACAAGAUCAAUGGGCCAAUCCCAGAGACAAUAGGGAACAUAUCUGGAAUCAAACAGCUUGAUCUGUCAGAAAACAACUUCACAGGUCCAAUCCCGUUGUCACUAGUCCACCUGGCGAACCUUUCUUCAUUCAACGUCUCCUACAACACCCUCUCUGGUCCUGUUCCACCUAUUCUCUCCAAGAAGUUCAACUCAAGCUCUUUCGUGGGGAACAUUCAGCUCUGUGGCUACAGCUCCUCAAAGCCAUGCCCUUCUCCAAAACCUCAUCAUCCUCUCACCCUUUCACCGACCUCAUCACAAGAACCAAGAAAACACCACAGAAAACUCUCGUUGAAAGACAUAAUCCUAAUCGCCAUCGGAGCUCUUCUAGCCAUCCUCCUUGUAUUAUGCUGCAUACUCCUCUGCUGUCUGAUCAAGAAACGAGCCGCCUUGAAACAAAAAGAUGGAAAGGAAAAGACAUCAGAGAAGACAGUAUCUGCAGCUGCUGCAUCAGCUGGAGGUGAAAUGGGAGGCAAGCUGGUUCAUUUCGAUGGUCCAUUCGUGUUCACCGCCGAUGAUCUCCUCUGUGCCACAGCUGAGAUCAUGGGGAAAAGUACUUACGGCACAGCAUACAAAGCCACAUUGGAGGACGGAAAUGAAGUCGCUGUGAAGCGGCUGAGAGAGAAAACAACCAAAGGAGUCAAAGAGUUCGAAGGAGAAGUCACAGCUUUAGGCAAGAUUCGUCACCAGAAUCUGCUUGCACUAAGAGCUUACUACUUAGGACCUAAAGGAGAGAAGCUACUCGUCUUUGACUACAUGUCAAAAGGAAGUCUCUCUGCGUUUCUUCACGGUAAGCAAAAAAAACCCUAACUCUGGAUUUGAUAAAGUUGACAUUUUUAUUGAUCUGACAUAUUGAAUUUAACAGCUCGAGGACCAGAAACCCUAAUUCCAUGGGAAACAAGAAUGAAGAUAGCAAAAGGAAUCAGUCGUGGUUUAGCUCACCUUCACAGCAACGAGAACAUGAUCCAUGAGAAUCUCACAGCAAGCAACAUUCUCCUCGACGAACAAACCAACGCACACAUCGCCGAUUACGGUCUCUCAAGGCUCAUGACCGCCGCCGCCGCCACAAACGUAAUAGCAACCGCCGGAACAUUAGGAUACAGAGCACCGGAGUUUUCAAAAAUCAAGAACGCAAGCACUAAGACCGAUGUCUACAGCUUAGGGAUCAUCAUAUUGGAGCUCUUGACUGGGAAAUCUCCAGGAGAGCCGACGAAUGGGAUGGAUUUGCCUCAAUGGGUAGCUUCGAUUGUGAAAGAAGAGUGGACUAAUGAAGUUUUUGAUCUGGAGCUCAUGAGAGAGACUCAAAGCGUUGGUGAUGAGCUUUUGAAUACUCUGAAAUUGGCUUUACAUUGUGUUGAUCCGUCUCCGGCGGCGAGGCCAGAAGCUAAUCAGGUGGUGAAUCAGUUGGAGGAGAUUAGGCCGGAGACUGAAGCGGAGAUGGAGACGACGCUGAUUGGAUCUGGUGGUGAAGGAGGUAAAGAUUUAGGGUCAAACGAGGAUUAAAGGAAAGUUUUGGGGGUUUUUAUGGAAGAAGAAUAAAAAAGAAGGGACCUAUAUACAAAUACCACAUUUUUUAUUUUCAUUAAUAUUCUUUGAUUCAAGUAAAUGUAGAUAAAAAUGGUUUGAAGUUUGUGCUAGUACUGUAAUGUAAUUUGAUUAUUCAUUCUUUUUUGGUUGAAGAAGUAAUACAAUAAUUGAUUUUGGAAUUUACUUAUUUUCUGUGAUGUAGUGUAAUUUUGAUUGUUUUUUUUGGUUAAAAGAAGAGAAGAAAAUGUUACCAAACUUCAAACACACAACCAUUUUUCAGAGAGUAGUGGUAAAAAAUGAUGAAACAAAUAUAACAGUAAAUAGUUUGUGAGUCGGGGAUGCUCAAAGAAGAGAGAUUAUAAAUGGAUUUGUUGUUGGUUUUAAAAUAGAACUAAGAGAUCUCUAAAACGGCUUUUUAGAUAUAAAUAGAACAGAUAACAAAAAUAUCUUUUACAAAAGUCUCUUCUAAACCAUUUCACCUUUGUCUUCUCUAAUAUAACAUCAAUAGUUCAGUCACUGAUAAUAAUCGAUAUAUAAAUUUAUGGGUUGACACAACAGAUCCAUCGAAAACGUCGAUGUUUAGCUUUGGUUUCAGUUAGGAUCUCAGCUUCAGGUUCGAUUUCAGGUGUAAUUUGUGUCUCAGCUUCAGGUUCAGUUUGAAUCUCGGCUUCGGGUACAAUUUCGAUCUCUACCUCAGCCUCAACCAUGUUGGAUUCGUGGUCAUCUUGUGAAGCACGAAAAUAAACAUCAAACAUCUUCCACAACUUAAAGAGGUCGGCGGGUCUCGGCUCAACAAGCACUAAUUUGUUGAAAAUUUCCACUAGGACGUCACUUUUUCCUGGAAUAUAUUAAGUAAAACACAUUAUUAAAUCCCAUAUAUAUUUAAGUGUUGGAAAAACAAAAUAAAAACUAAGUAAAUUGGAAGACGAAUCAUUCCCUAUGUUGAGAUUUUUUUUAGUGUGAGGUAGACCUACACUAACUAAUAUGCUAUCCGAGCAUGUAUAAUAUUCCGAUUAUGAGGCCAGCCCUUCAAAUUAACUUUACGUUUCAGAUGUUUAAUCUCAAUCUUAAACAUUGGGAGGAGAGGAAGAAAAUGUAUUAAAGUAUAAAAUUGUCCUACAUCGAAAGUUGGAAGAUUUUCUAAGCAAUAUACAAGAGUGUGGCAAUCUAUCUUACUCUUGGAUGUGUGCUAGGCUCAUACUUUACUAAUAGAGAAGAAACUGACGUAUUUUUACUUUUUGGAUGAUUUUAUUUUUAUAAAGUCUAUAUUGAUAAUUAAUACACAAUUUUCAUAAUUUUAUAUUUUGACAAUAGGAUUUCUAAUUUUUUUCCCCCAAAAUUCAAAAUACUCAUCAAAGCUUCACAUAUUUGGCAAUAUUAUUUCGUUCGGGGAUUUUUACUUUGUCCGUUGGGUUAAGUUUCCAUUUUUGGGAGUUGUAUUCUAUUGUGGUUCCACAACAAAUAUUAAUAAAAUUUCAGAUGACCAAAAACAAAACUUCACAAAUUUAGCAAGUUAUGAUGUUAUAUAUUAUAUAACAAGAUUUUUCGAAAACUGACUCCUAUUCUGAUUUAGUAUUGGUUCAACGAUUAUGUACGUUAAAAACUGUUUUUAAUGUUAAUUAUAAGGUUAUGGACCAAAACUCAUAAAUCUUCCUAGAUCCAAAGCAACCUUUAAUAAUUGACUCGUACCAGCUGCCUCUCAAUACUACAGAGUAGCAGAGGUCAGUAAACACCAAAUAUAGUAUGUAAUCAAUUUUGUAUUAUUAUUUGGUAUGAGAGGCAUGUUGUUUUAUCCAUGUAUAUACCAUAAGAUAUAAGUGUUUACUAUUGUAGUCGAGUGUUAUAGCUAAGAUGACCUAAUUGUUAGAUGUUAUAACCAAGAUGACCUAACUGUAAUAUAUUUGGCUGAAUUUAUAUGAUAGUUAGGGUAUAUAUAGUUAUGAUGUAUCAUGGUAAUGGUGAUUCGACUGGCCAUAUAUUAUAUUUGAAAUGAUAACGACUAAAUAUAUAGUCGAUAUCUUUAAUACGGAAAUCUUAAUCCUAAGGAAAACACCAAGAACAUAUAAUCUCAUACGUGUUAUUACGUAUGAGUUUACCGAAUUUAUUCAAGUAGAAGGUGAAACCUAUAGAAAUUAUAGAAAUGAUGGGAGAUCAACGUGAUAAAAAAGAUAUCACCAAAAUUAAUGAAAAACAGUUAAGAUAUUUGGUGAAUUUAUAUUUCAUACUAUAUUCUACAAAUAGAGCAUUUCACUAUGUGAAAUAGUCAAUACAAGAGGUAUAUAUAUCGGGGAAAUGUGGUUUAGCAUAAGAGCAGAGUCACAUUCCUACUCAAUAUAUGCUUCUCAAAUAAGGACUUUUGGUUGUACACACAUGUUUGUUAUGUGGUUUGGAAGAGGAAACAAGGAACCACCUCAUCUUCAAUUGUGUUUUCUCUUAAGUUUGGAUUGUGGUCACUUCAAGGCUAAAUCUCUACGCAGCUCCAUUAUCUUGGAGUUAUAUCUUACACAAGUUGCCCUAAUCUCUUACUUGAUCACAAAGCGGACUAUUCUUACAGGAUAACAGACCACUAUUUAUGUAAUAUGUAAGGAAAAGAAUCAAAGAUUUGACGAUGGAUAUACUUUUCCUCCUUACUUUAUUUUAAAAUAGGGUAGGCCGAAAUUCGAGAAACAAAGUUUCAGAUCAAAAAUUUAUGGGUAGAACAAGGAUCGUUAUCAUCUACGAAAAUAGUUUCAUUUUUGGUAAAUCUUCUAUAAUCCUCUGGCAUGUGACAUAUUGCAGUCUCGUCGUGAUUUCACAACCUUUCUUUUUUCAACAACAUUCAAUAUGCAGACUUGAAUUCUUGACACAUCGAUGAUAGUAGCACAAAUCGAGAAGUCACUUGUCUUGGUCUAAUUUGUACGUUAGAACUAAAAAUCACAUAAAAAGAAACCCUAACUAUGACAUCUUAAGUCCUAAAACAUAAGUCAUUAACUCUAUAAAAUCUAUAAACAAAAUGGGUUGUUUCUUGAUUAACUUUUUUCUCUCAAUUCUAUAUUUUAAUAAUUUGAUAUUUUAAAUAUGUUUAAUGCUUAUUAAAGAUUAAGAGCGACGAUAUUACCGUAAUUUUCUGGAAAAGUGCAGGUUGAACCGUCUAUCAUCGCCAAUUCUGUUAAGAAUAAAACAAUAUAUCGUAAGUCAUCCCCGACCCAAUAUAUAUUAGACUACCUUAUGGGUAAAAAAAUGAACUUUCUUUACAUUAAAACGAGAGACAUUGUUUUGGUAUUUUGUUAUAAAACUUGGAGUUUUUAGUAAUUUAAGAGCUGUUUUGAUUUUUCAUUUUUUUAAGUAGAUCCCUUUUUAAGUAAAACUAUUAUAUGAAAAAAAAUUGUUUUCUUGAGAUAUACUUUUUAAAAAAAAUUGGAUCUUUACAGGGACAUCAUUUUUACUAGUACUUUUUGGAUUUUUUUUUAAAUGAUUAUAGAGUUAAUGACCUUUGAGUCGUAUAUUUUUUAAGACGAAAUUUAGAUCAUAUAAUUACUAUGUUUUGGAAAACAUAUCUCUUCUUACACAAAUCUUUUCAAAGUCUUUAUGUUUUCGAUAAUACAUAAACUUAGUUACUAGACCAACUCGUUUUUGGUUAAUUUUUAGGUCAUUUUUCAAAGACCUUGAAAAAUAUGAUCUUUUUUCUUGUUUAAUUUCUUUUCAGUAGACAUAUAAAUCUUUGGAUCAUUGCACUUUUGCUCAUCCAACUUGGGUCGAGCAUGUCGUAAGAUUAAUGUAUGUAAAAACGAAAGUUUAGCUAAGUGUUUUUCUUUAUAUAUUUUUCUUGUUUCUUAUUUUUUUAUUUAAAAUUCUUCUUAGUAACCAUUUUAUACUUUCAUAUCUUUUAAAGUCAAUUUGUUAAUAAUCUUGUAAGAUUUUUAUUUGUUCAUCACAUCAACAAUUACAUGAGAAACAUGAGUUCAAUAUUAGGGAAAAACUAUCCCAAAAUUUCCUCCGUUUAUGUUUUCUUAUGAAAUUUUUGCUCAAAAAAAAACAAAAAAUGAAAUUAACAAUUUUUUUUUAUUUUUUGUCAACCACACAUUUAUUAAAAAGCUCCUUGGGUGGUUACCCAAUUAGGAGGAGAAAUGUUUACAAAGGUAGCUGUAAAUUUGAAAAGGAGAAAAUAUGAAAUAACAAAUUUGAAAAGUAGUUUUUGAUAUAUUUAUAAUAAAUUGAAUACAUAGCUUUUCAAACUGCAAAUACCGGGGGGAAAAAUACCUUUAUUUUCGGUUGUGCUUUCAUGAUCUUUUGGCUUCUUAGGAAGUAUCUUUCUCACCAAAGAUCUGAAGAUUCUACGGAUCCCCGAAAUAUUUUCCUUUGCACUUCCCAUCUUAUUUUCCGACUGUAUUAUAUGACUUUCUCGUUGACAAAAGAAAAAAAGUAUAAUGUGACUUUUUCUCUAAAAAAAAAAAUUCUGCAACUAAACACAACUCUUAUCUGUUUAAAUGUAUGGAGACAACCACUUCUUGUAAUGUACAUAUAUUUUUCUUUAACAAAAAAAAGUAAUGUACAUAUUUUCCAUUCAAUGUAUAUUUUCCCUUAAAUUUUUUAAUAUUUGAUUAUGUAUAUAUUUGAAUUACUUGAUUAUAUUCCUUUAAAGAGUUGUUUAAGUAAAGAGAUGUAAGGACAUACGUAAGCAUUAUCUAAAUGUGAAUGGAAAUAAAAGUGAGGAAGAUUUGUUCUAUAUGUAGACCGUAAUGACAGGGGUUAUUACACUGUCAUUUUUAAUAACUUUUCAUUUUUCCAAAAGCAUUCUACAAUAUUGCAAAUAAACCUUAUCUGGAUGCUUAUCAUAUUCUAACUUCUUAUAACUACUAAAGAAAUUCUUAAAUUUUCCAUUUUUUUCUUUCAUAAUAAAAUUUUCUAUCAUCACAAAAGAUUAUUUCUAUUAUUUUCUAUAUAUAAUUAGACUAUUAUUUUUCAUAAAUUUAUUCAUAUAUAUAUAUAUACAUAAUAAUGAUUUUAUAUUUCAAUAAUAGUAUAAUAUAUUAAUCUAGAUUUUAGCGGACCCAUAAUCCUCAAAAGAAAAUCUUAUAUAUACAAAUUCAGAAUACACUACUUACAUAUAAUAUACUUGUUAGUUAUUGAUACUUUUGUAAGUAAACUACAUUACUUCAACAUCCGAAUACACGGAAACAAAAAUGUCCAACUCUGACCAUAUAGAUCUCCUUUCCGUCUAACGUCCAAAUGUCCAAAUAGCCAAAAUAAUCAUCUCUAAUUUUCUAUAGACUCUAGAAAACAACUGCAUAACUAACCAAUUUUACAUCCUUUAAAAUAAUAAUUACCAUUUAGUUUAGUAAGUAUAUAUAUAUAUAUAUCUAGUUACGUGAUUGUUGUGCUUUUUCAAAACGAUGUAUUUGUGAGACAAAGCAUAAAACAAAAUAUUUUAUUCAUUCAUUUCCUAAUUACCCUCACGUUUCUAAUUAAGUUUCUUGUUUGCUUUCAAUCACAACAUGAAAGCAUUGUUAUAGUUUUCCUCUAUUUCGGUUUCCCUUUAGUCAUUAGUUAAUUAUACACAAGUGGGAUGGGAAAAUAUUGAACAAAAAUAGAUCUGACUAUAAAUAAUUAGUAUUUAUUUUAAACAAAGACCAAAUUGGAUUCAUAGUCAGUCUGGAGAAGAUAUCGAAUUCACAAAAGACACAAACAUACAAAAUAGCCUCGUACGUGAAGAUCAAUAUCAAACUUACAAAACCGAAGAGUAAAAAUAAUUAUAAACGUCGUUGAAAUCUUCUUCAGUCAAUCGCAGAGUGGAUCAAAAUGGCUGCCUCCUCUGUUGUUGGAGCUGCGUCUUCUGCGUUUAGGGACCAAAAGUCAUUUACAAACAAAUUAACAAUUAUCUACUUAAAUCAUUUGCGAACUCCAUAAUCUUAACACUAGAGUUCCAUCGAAGCGUCUAACUAAUCUAAAGAGCGAACAAUCUCUUCACCAAAAAAAUAGUAAUUGCAAGAUCGAAGGUUAAUAUACACAAUGAAAUCAAAUCCGAGAUUAUUGCAAAUUUACGCUUUAACACUAAAGUCGAGAGUACCGUACCUGGCAGAUGAGAAAUAAUCUUCUCUAAGACUCCAACACUUGAUGAGCUCUCUUUUUCCUUGUCAUUUUCAUCUUCACAUUCUAAUUUUUGAAUGUUUUUACCAGAUUUUCCCUCUGCUGUUGUUGUUGUUGUUGCAUCCAUAAAGUUGGAUAUCAGAUUGUUCAAAAUCCCACCUUUAGCUCCUUUCUCUUCUUCUUCUUCUAGUUCUUGUUUAUCUUUGUUCUUUUCUACGACUUCUUUUGGACACACGACCUUCUCUGCUUCUGGAACGCCUUCUUCCAUAUUUCCUUCCUAUUGUUUCUUUCCUUACCAUUGGUUCCACUUUUCCUUAAGACAGUGCCAUUUUAAUUAAUCUUGUAAAAGUAGUUUGAUGUUGAACUUUAUCGAUGCAAAAUAGUGACUUAAUAUAAUAUACAAUGAGACAAUAGUAUAGGUUAUCCAAAAAAUGAGAUAAUAUAUUAAUUAACUAAAGUUGUACUAAGUCGGUAGAAAAUCUAGAAAAAAACGACACGUCCACUGUUCUGAGAAGCGGUCAUGUGGUUUUACACGUACCUCGUAACUUGUUGUUUACCAUAUAUUUCAUUACACGUGUCAGCUAACUGUCUAAAACUAAAAGCAUUUUCAUAUUCCUUGUCUGAUUUCCUCGAAUCCACACGUCCCUUGUUGUGAAUAGAUGUGAAUAAUUGUGUAUUUUACCAAUUUGCAAGUUUUAGUUCUUUCCAAGAUUUUUUUAUGCAUAUAACAACAACUAGUCAUAAUUAUUUUGUUGUUCUCUUAAUGUUUUAAGUUUUACACGUAAAUUAAAAAAAAAAAGUAAUUUUUAUAUUAUUUAAUUAUUUUUGUUUGUUAAUUUAACAAUUUUAGUUUCAUUCUUUUCCUCUCCUUAUUGGUUACUAAGUAAAAGUAAUAACAAUGUUAUUACAAAAUAUCAAAUUUUGUGGAAGAAGAAAAAAUUUCAAAACAUCAAAUUAUUAGAAAUAGAGGGAGUAAAUAGCUAGGAUUUUUGAGAAAAAAAAAUUCUUUUUAAUCUUUUGAAAAAUGGGCCACUGUUUUUGUCAAAAUUUUUUUUUUUUUUUGAAUAGCAGGAGGUUAUGCGCCAAAACCCGUAAUUCUCCAGAUCCGAAACCACAUCAUAUAAUAUUAGUUUCGUCUCAAGCGUCACUCGAAUCGACGACCUCUAAGUUUCACCAAAAUUUUUUACCAAUUGAGCUAACGACACUUGAAAAAUUAGGUUUUAAUCUUUUGAAAAAUGGGCCAUUCUGUUUUUGUCAAGUUUCAUAUCUCUAAUCUCUGCAAUCUCAGAUUUCUUUCAUAUUCUUUUGCAAAAGUUGGUUUCUUAUUCUCUUCCAAAAAAUUCAGAAAAAAAAGUAAAGUCAUUUGUUUAAGUAUUUCUUUUGCCGGAUAAAUUUUACAUUACAAAAAGAGAAAAAAUCUUCAGAUAUUUGUAGUUGCACAUCUUAUCAAAUCAUUCAACUCUCUAAAACUACCAAAAUAAAUAAAAAUUGAAGUGAUCUGUAAGCUUGAUGGCCUAUUUUAAGAGAUCAUGAAAUCUGGACAAACAAUUCUUUUGGUCAGAAGUCAGAACAGAUCCAAAGUCUAAUUUGUGGAUUAUAUAUAUAAAAGUAUUACAUGAUAACUUUAAAGCUAGCUGCAACAAUUUUGGCAAAAGGGCCUUAUAUUUUGUACAUGCUUUUCUUUUCUUUCUUUUCGUAUAAAUGUUAUUAACCACCACAUUUUACAAGAAACCAAAAAAGUACCUUAAUCCAACUAGUUAUUUUUUGUAAUAAACUUGGGUUGCAAGUGGACGUGGGAAGAUGGAGAAAAUGCAUUUUUGACGCCACAGAUUCUAUGCUUAGUGCUCCAAGGCAGCAAUACAUGUACGCCACAAGCUUUUGGUGAAAAACAAGACUGCCUCACGGUUGCACCACUCAAAUAAGAGAGCUUCUUCUUCCUUCUUUGGCUAGCCGCUGAUGUCACGGCUGCUAGAGCCGCUGCAUCCGGUAGAAACCGCUCUAUUAUGUAACUCGGUGACAUGUCUUCGCUUCGUUCUGUGCUUUCCAUUGUUAAGUAGCCGUUUGAGUCACCUGCUCCGCUGCUCCCAUCCGAUUCCGAAACGCUAUCUUUUGGGAGUUCGACCAUGUCUAUGGCUUGCGUGAGAGACAAGACAUCGACCGUGUCUUGGUUGGUUUGAUGGAAAUGUUCGUGAUUGUUGCGUUUCUUCAUAUGCGACAAUCUAGCUGGUGUUAAACUCUCACUGGCGUCAUCAAAGUCGUCGUUUUCACCUUUAACGUGCACCUAUGAUGUAGAACGAAUGACAAAAUCAAUUGGUAAUGAAUGGAUUGAAAAACCUAAAACAGGAAAACAGAGAAAAUAUUAUGGUUUAGAGAAUGAUAAACCUUCAAUCUUCCAGGAGGUAGUUUGAGGCGGGGCGUCUCGGAUUCAGCAUCAUUUUUCAAAUGAGACGAGUUCUUGGGCAUCCCGGGAGCGGUCUCCCAGCAAAACGGGACGGAAGCUUCCGGAAACUGACCCGGAAGCUUCUCUUGGCUGACAUGGCGCUUCGUCGACAAGAAUGGAGCAUUGAAGUUCAAUCUUCGGGAUCGGUUAAUAUCCAUCAUUUCUUCAACGGUAAGAUACAAAAUCAUUUGAGGGUAAAAGGUGUUUCUUGUUUGCGACCCAAGAAGGCAAAAUUGUGAGUUUGGGAGAUAUCAGCUUUGUUGUAUUGACACUCUUCUUUUCUAGUUUGUUAGCUGAAAGUUGAAUUUAAUGACAAGUUGUUGAAAGUUUGAAACUUUCUCGUGUCUGCAAAACCGAUAUUUGUGGCCUCUUUAUUGUGUUCACAGGUCAGGAAAGAGCUUUAGAAAAAGUUAGUCUCCUACCAUGUGGUGGUGAUAAAAUCGAUCAUGAAACCAAACAUUAGAACUCAGAGCCAAAAUUAUAAUUAAGAAGAUGAUUUCCUCAUUAAGUGAUAAAAAAAGAAUGUUGAAAUAUGGAGGAUAAUUUUGGUGAAACAUGUUGAAAUAUUGUAUGAAUGAAUAGUUUCUUUGUUUUCUUGUUUCAGGAGGAUAAAAAACACAUCCCCGGAUGCUUUCAAAAUCAAUACAAGAAACAUGUAAAAAAAAAAGUUGAAGAAGUUACAGAUACAAUUACAUAAUUCCAGUGAAAAAAAUAAAUAAAACGAAAGAAGCAAUAAUACAUCUAGAAAUAGGACAGAAGAAGAAGUCCAAUUUCACCAGAGGUAAGUUCUUCUUCGUGGUUUCUUCCCUUUUUUUUGGCCAGAAAACGUAUUAUAUCUUAAGCAGCAAGAAACACUCUCUGCACUACUACUUUAUAGUAUCCUCACCCAACCCCCCCCAAUAACCAAAAUUAUAGAGAAAAAAUAUAUAUAUAAAAAGUUUCUAUUUACAUGGCUAUGCUUGUUUUUUCCCUGGUUCACUCAAACCAAGCCUUGUUUGAUUGCUCGGUUUCUGUUUUGCACAAGGAAAAUGAAACAGUGUAGAAGCAUACCAGGAGGGAAGAAGAGAAAGAUUUUGCCCAUCAAACCAAAACGAUAGUUUUGUUCUACUUUUGGUCGUUUGGUUCACGAGCUUUGUGGUAGAGCUCGAGUGUAUCUGCAUGACCUGGAUCAAUACAUAAUGCUGCUUCACAAUCUUUGAUAGCAGCUGCUCCUUCUCCCAUUGAAUCAUAGAAUGCUGCUCGUAGAUGUAACAGCUGGAGAUCUGGUUUAAAAGAUAUCGCCCUUGAAAGCUCGUCUAUGGCUUCACUUUCUUUGUGGUCGUCCAUAAGAACUGCAACCAAGAGUUCAUGUUUUAAAAAAAAAAAAGCGAAACUUAAAAAGAAAGCUUAAUACGCUGCUGGUCUUAGCAAAGCAAAAUUGAGUAUAACAUUGAUAAGAACAGAGGCUGUAAAACUACUGUUCUUAUACACAUUCACCAAACCAGAGAGACUGCAUAUCAAUUCGGUUUAAGGACACAAGUAGAUAACACUCUCAGUUCUGUUUCUAUCUCCAGAAAGAUGAUGGAAAUGUCAGAUGGGUCAUAAAUUCUCAUUUCUGUUUCCAUCACCACACAAGCUGGGUUGUACGUUUUUCUAACACUUUUGUGCAUUGAAUUAUACGUGGGUGAAUCCCUCAGAAAGGAUCAGCCAUUGUUGUCUUGUUUCUGGCAUCCAAUAAUAAACAACAAACAAAAGGAGGAUAAACUAGAACUUGGUUGUGUCAUUAGCAUACCUGCGGCUCUGUAUCUGUAAGGAUAGGUUCUGAGAGGGUCAAGCUGUGUUGCCAAGCUAAGGUCGCUCUGUGCCAUCUCGCGGUCACAAUAUUCAGAGCGCUUCUCAUAUGCCGAAGCAUUGUUCUGAGCCUUCUCUAUUAGCUUUGUCAUUUCAUCAAAGGCAGCUUUCCGUUGGUUUUUAAGGUGAUAAACACGUGCAAGACCUUGGUGAGCUCGUGUAUGCUUGAUGGUGAGAGCGUUUGUGUAGCAAUCAGCUGCAAGAUCCAGCUUUUCACAAUCCACAUAUACGCUCCCCAGGUUGUUCAAAGCCUGCAAGCAAAUACACCAAACAGGAGUUCAUGAUAAUGUCAUAUGAUAUAGUAGGAUAACCUUUUGAGCAAAUAUACGAAACGGUUUUUAGGACAGUUGGUUCCUGAGAUGCGACCACAUUCCAUUAUCAACAAAUUACUCCAGACACCAAGAGCAAAAAGUUUUAAACUGGGAUUCUGAAACUAGGGAAGUCUGAAGCAUGAUCCAACAAGUAAACACUCUAGAAAAAGAAUUGACUAAUUGAGAAAUCAAAUAACAUAAAUGAAAAGUGCUGAACUCUUUACUUACUUGUCCCUUACGGAGACCAUCUGAGGGGCACUUAAGCGCUUCUUGAAGGAGCUGAAUCACAUAAUUUGAGGAAUCCGGGUCAAGCGUAGAGUCCGCAAGGGCAUAAGCUUUGAGAAAAAACGCUUCAAAAGAUCUUUGUAUGGAAAUGGACUCCUCCGCUUUGGCAAGGGCUUCCUCGCGGUGACCUGUAUCAUACAAUAUCCAACCUUCAUACACAAGUCUCUCAUGCUCCGACUUUGAAUGGUUUCGAGCCAGCCUUAGACUACGCAUUGCUGCCUUUUGACAAUUUAGCCUGUCAGUAUGCAAGCAGCACUUGUUAGAAUCAAUUAGAGUCUGCCACAACAUGCACCAGAAGAUAAAAGUUUUUAUUGAGAAGCGUAAAGAGAGAUUAUACCGUAGCAGAAGAAGAGACUGUCUGAAUCGUAAAAGACUCUUCCCUGGAUCAUUUGCAAGCAUAUGAUGAACAACUGCUAGAGAACCAAUAUCAUCCACAGAAGACCAACGAUCAUACAGCUGCAUCCAGCAAUCAGCCUGGCUCCACUGCUGGGCUAACGGACGGAGCAGCUCCACCAUAUGAUCACCAUGGAUUUUCCAGUUAAACAUCAUAAAAUUCGGCUCCAAUGUCAAAAGCGCCCGAAUAUCUUUCAGAGCGCCCUCAUAAUCCUCCAUACCUAUAGAAAUCCAUGCCCUCAUCUCCAGACAGUCAGGAGAGGCCUUGAAUCCAAGAAUCUUGUUCAGUUCCGAGAUCGCAGCUCCAAACUGGUUCUCUUCAACCAAUGCCACUGCCCUGAAUUUGUAGGGGAAUGUCAAAGUCGGGUCUAACUCAGUAGCUGUGUCCAAAUCGAGCAGCUUUUCUUUACCACUGCAAUACAAGGACCUCUCCUGGUGCAUCCACCCAGUAGCUUUAUGAUCCGAAAUCAGUGAGUUGAUGAUCUUAUAAGCCGAGUACCUAUGGUCACGCUUGAACUUAGACCUAGCAACGCCCACGAGGGAGUAAAGAUGACCAGCCUCAACUGCUGCGUUAAACCAUCUCUGAGCAUCCUUAUAUUCUUUUCUCUCCAGCAUCACCACUCCUAAUUGGUGAUACGCAAGCUGUUUCUCCCAAUUAUCCACCGCGCAUUCAACCAAACGUUCUAAGAGCAUCACAGUAGUGUUAGAUUUCAUAUCAUCUUCCAUGGCAAUCUGGCUUAAGAAGAAGUACAAUGUAAAAGAAGCAUGGCCAAGAGAUGCCAGUCUUUCCCGUCCCUCGGCACUACAGAAGAACUUUAUAACAUUCGGAUUAUGCAUAGAGCUCGGCAAUUCCCUAAGAAAAAUCUGAAGACAAGCUGCCACCAGAAGGUAUGCAGCCUCUUCUAAUCCAUACUCGAUCAACAACAUUGCCUCAUCCAGAGAAUUAACAAGAUGUGCCAAAUGCGAAUCGCAAGCGGAUUUCAAUUCAUCGCAACAGAACCGAUUCGCCAGCUUAAGAAGCUCCAAGACAACAUUAGGAGGGAAGUUAUCUAACCUGUUGGUCCUGCUGAAAAUCUCUGCAGCUCUCAUCCCUUCAACAGAGAUUCCGUUCUGCGUAAAAUUGAUCGUGGCUCGUUUCAUUUCUCUAAACCCACCGUAUAACAUCGCCUUGAAAGGUCUCGACAAAGAAGCGAUUUUGUACCUCACACAACGAACCUCUUCAUCACCAAUACAAAAGGACAUAUCAUAGUCUACUUCCUCAGAAGUAGAACAUUCAUCUUCAUUCAUCAUCUCUGAUCUAGAAGCUCCAGAGCAAAUACAUGGAUCAUAUACAGAUUCCGGAUCAUACCCGGAAACAAGAGUCGCCUUUGGACAUUCCAAAUUCCUCCCACAACAAUCCAUAGAAGUUGUUCCAAUUAACUCAUCCUCCCUCCUCUCGAAUCGAAGCCACGACGCCAGCACGACUUUCGCAUGAACAUCCACGGCAUGUUGCCUAGACGAUCGGAGACUCCGCCGGAAAAGUUUCGGAUCAGAAAUUCCCCGGAAGAUAGCGCAUUGCUCUAAAUACGCCCCAGACUUCUCGAAUUGGGAACAAUUCUCGAUCCUCCGAUAAACUUGAGCCAUCAUGUCAACCAAAUCAACGAAUUUCAAACAAGGAUCGAUUUGAGGUUCAAGCAGAUCCGUCACAGGAAGUCCACAGGGAAGAAGAAACUCGGGAGAAACAAGAGCGUUUGCUUGAUUCGAAGGAGGAGGAUAAGUCCGGCUUGAUUUAGAUCGGACUGAAUUAACACGAAGAUGAUCUGAAAGGUGUUGUAAGAGCUUAUCCCCAACUCCUCCGGUGCCACCGCUACCACCACCACCGCCGCUAUUACCAGGAGGAGGAGGCGGAGGAGGAGCUGAUGGGUUAAGAGCGUAAACUUGUGUACCCUUACAACCUUCUGCAAGCUUCAAACUUCGCAUUGUUGUGAAGAGAUUAUGCUGCAUCUUCAAUCAAACGCAAAGCAAAGUUUUCAAAUUUAUCCAAAGAUCUGAAUUUGGGUCAUCAACAAAACAAAACAAAAAACUCAAGAUUUACAAAUUUCUUCCGUCACCUUUAAAACAAUUCCGAGGAUUGGAUCACGGAGCCAAUCCAAAAGUCCGGUGCUUCAGACCCUUUAAUCAAAAACCAAUAAAAAUCAAAUAAUAUUUUACAAAGUUUGUGUUUUUAUCUUCCUCAACGAAGCUCUUCUUCUUCGUCUUCUUCUUCUCGGAAAUCGUGUUUUUGCAGUGUAAGUUUCAUCGAUCCGGUUCGUUUUUUUUUGUUCGCACUAAUUUUACGAAUCUAUCCGUAAAAAUAGAGAGAGGUAAUUGGAGGAAGAAUCUUCCUCCGCUCGAUCUCUCUCAGUUUUGGUUUAUUGUUUUUUUUUUUUUUUUUUUACGAAUCUGUUUUCAGAGAGAAGUCAUGUGUUCUAAUAAUGCAAAAUUAAAUUAAAAAAAAAAUAUUAUUAUAUGUGUUUGUUUGUGUGGCUUAUUUUUAUUUUUUUGCCUUUUUAAGUUUUGUCCUCUUGUUAGUUUUGUGGAAAGUAAUUUGAUUAGUUUAUUUUAUUUCCAUUUAAAGCUUAAAUUAAUCCUCUUCUAACGUUAUCAACUGCCAUUUUUUUAUUUCUUAGAUUUUCGCGGCACUUUUUACAAUCUCCAAAAAGGUUGAAAAAAAUAUACAUAAUUAAUUAAACAUUUAUAUGAAAGUACUGGCCUUUAAUAUACUUUGACAGUUUAUUUAUUUAUCCCCACUUUCUUUAGCAUGCUUCUAUGUUACACUUGUUUCCCUUUUUUCUAUUUGUUUAGUCUAAAAUUUGUAUUCGUUGUUAUGUUCCUUUUUUUUUCUCUGGCUGAAAUUGAACUUUUACUUUUGGGUGAGUCUUAUGCUUUUUCCAAAAUUAUGAUUUAUGAAGUUAGAUCAUAUUUAUCGAUUUUGUUAAAUAUAAAACAUAAACGGAAGAUUGUUCGAUUUUAUCCAAAGUGGAACUUGAACAAGACAGAGUGGAUUCCAUCAAUUAAUUUUUGGUAUUUUAUUCGUUGUCUUUCAAUUGGUUAUAAUUUGUUAAGUUUUUUUUCAGUAUAAAAAAAAACACCAAAUGACACAUUUUUAUAUUUUUGUUAACUUGAAAAUCAGAAAAAAAAAUGUUAGUAAAAUAGUAUAUUUUCAUUGCGAUUUCAUAAGAUUAACUACUAGUGUAUGUUCUAUAAAUGUAGUAAAGGAUAAAAAUAUUUGAUUUUUUCUGCAUGUACUAGAGAUUAGUCAAAUUUGAUAUGGAUUUUUUCGAUAAUAACCAACAUAUUGAAUUCAUAAUUUUGCAAUUUUAAUUGAAUAAACUACCAUGAUAAAUGUUUUUUUUUUCCUUAGUCAUGUAUUAGAUUAAUAUAGACAAUCUAUAUUAAUCUAAUAUCAUGCACAUUAACUUUUACUAUAACCAUUUUCACUAAUCUAUGAAUUUUUCUAUAGAUGAACAUGUUUUUGUAUAUUGAGAGGUUGGUUCCUCAUGGAUUUGGCACUCGGGUGUUGUGAGCUGAGCUGACUCAUUGGAACCUUAUGAACGAAGAUUAAUCUUGACAACAUUGAAAUUUUGACAAAAAAUUGUCUUUCAGUUACUUCAUCAAUUAAAGUAGUAUUAAACAGUCCCGCUAAUAUUAUCAAUUAUUUCAUUGGUACUUUAAUUUGAAUAUAGAAAUCACUAAAAUCACUUAUCAAAUUGUCUGUUAGAAUAUGUCAAAACUUUAAUCCGCUUGACCAAAUAAAUCUAUAGUUUUACCACUACGUGGCCAGUUUAAAUUACGCAAAAAAACACCACCAUAGAUCUGUCAGAAUCUUUCAUAAACAAUAUAUCUGCAGAGAUUCGUCGUUAUCAUUUAUAUUAAUAAUGUAAAGUAUCUUUAAAUGUUUGAGGCUACCACAUAUACCGGUUGUGCGUGACACAAUUACAUUGCUGAUAUUUUCUCUCACAAAUUAUGUUUACUGAUACAAAACGUAAGAAACGUAUCAUAGAAUAGAAUAUAAAUAAAAAUUAAAAUAUUAUCUGACAGAACAUAAUAAAUUGUCGAGAAAAUUAAUAAUAAUAAAAUUAAUAUGUGCUGUUAGAUAGCCGGCAAAGGGCUUUUGCCACCCACAUUAAGCGGCGAAGUCAUGUCAACACGUUUUACUGUUAAUUUUGUUAUAUAUAAAUUCUUAAGGAAGUAAUCGUAAUUAAAUCUGUGCUAAGCUAUGAUUAAGUCUGGUAUAUUGAUGGGUGAUUAUUAGUUUAUGUGAUGACACACGAAUAUUAUUAUUAUAUAGAUAAAUAUAAUUCUAUGAAACAUAUAAUUGAGAAUGAAACUUAUGGUCAUGUGGCUGAGACAGCUAAGAAUGUCUUCUUAGUUUUGGGUAAGAAUGUAUUUUUAUCCAAAAGCACGGAUCGUACUAUACACUUUGUACAUUACCCACCUAAAUCACUUGUCUAUUUCUCUCUAUGUCCCCACAUAAUUCUUCUCUCUCUUUUUUUUUUUUUACUAUCAUCUCAAAUAAAACCAUUAUGUUUCAAAUUUCGAUUACAGACUGUGGCAUAAAAUACUAUGUUAAAAAAUAGCAAUACAUAAAUGAUUGAUGGUACCGCUAAAUUUUACCGUUAUAUGAUUGGUAACUAUACUAGCGAUAUCGUUCACCGUUUACCUUCUCCGUAAAGGAUUACUAAUCACACCCAACAAUUCUGGUGAAUUUGUUUGUACCAUUGGAUUUUUUUAGAGACAAUAUAUGAGAUAUGUAAAGGCUCAUAGGCCUUGGGAAAUUUCACACUAGCAAUUUUUCUAGAAAAUCUCAGAUAUUUUAUGACGUUGAAUCUAAGAUACGAAACUAAGGUGUUGUUUGAUUUUGUACUAAGUUUGGAUGCUCAAUUAUAGGUCCAUCUAUAGGUCCAUCAAAUAUUUGAAAGAAAAAAAAGAAUAUACGAAUCGACCCAUUACUAAUUUGGCCCAUCAAAUUCAAAUGGUUAACCCAAUCCAUUUGGUUAAUAGUUCGGAGUUCGGACCGUACCGGUCUACCGGAUAAUCCAUUUUUUACACGUGAAUGAAAUAUGUAACAGCAUAUUUUAUUUCUGCAACAUUUUAUCUCUAUCAAUCAAACUUUAACGCCCGAUUGUUAUAACAUGGGAACACAAAAUGCAAAAGUAUUCCCAAAACCCAAACAGUGUAUCCAUAAUCUUACUACAACGACAUUAGCCAAUUAGGCACUACAGUACAGAGACAUCAAAGAUUAUUUGAACAUUUCGUACAAAAGAUGUAGAUUCCGAUACUAUUCAAAUUUUAUAUAGACACUGGAGGAGCAUAAAGCCGAUAUUUUUAUGGUCAUUUUCCAAUUUAACAAUAAUCAAAAAGAUAAACAGUAACCAAAAGCACUUUUUCCUUCAUGGCAACGUAACAGUAGUAAAAAUGUCAGUCAAAUUUCUCCCAAUCUUGAGUUACAUUGGCUGAAGGCGAAGCUGGCGGAGGAGGGUUCAAGCUUCCCACUCCGUUACCGAAUGAUUCCCACUCGGUGCUUACUGCUGCGGCUUUGCUCUGAUCCACAAACGGAUUUGAACAUCUUGCCUUCAACUUAUCCACAAUCUCCUGCAAGUUUUGGACUCUACGUACCUGCCAACACAAAACCCAAUCAUUCUUCAGUCUAUGAUUAAUUUAGACUGAAGAUAGAAGAAAGAUCACAAGAUGAUUCAGAGGAGCACAAUCCCAAAUCUUAAGAAAACUAAAUGUAUCUUAACCAAAGUCUCUACAUUUACAACUAUAUGAAACAAAUACGAUAUAUGAAAUCUUUACCAAAGUCUACAUUUAGAUCGUUGCAACUCAUCUCAGCUUAUAAAAGUAGUAUAAUUCUGAACACUCAUACAUCUACCAGCUCUAUUAACACUCUUAUCGUCUAAACAAGUUUAUUAUGCACGCAGAUGAACAAAGUAAUAAACUAAAAACUAACCUCUGCCUUACGCUGUACUUUAGCUUCCCCUUCAGCCUCAAUACCAUCCAAUUUGAGCAACUGCCUCAUGAGAAGCUCCACAGUCAUGUCAAACUCCCGCACCGCAACUUUCGUCCCUCCAUUCACAGCAACCUCUAAAGCAACGACCUAAUUUCAAAAUAAUAAACAAAACUACCUUAAGUACAAUCCUUCCUACCUUUCCUACAGUAACAAAAACCAAAAGAUGUAGAACUCACCCUAUCUGAGAGAUUAUCGACCUCUCCUGUAACCGCAACAAGUGCAGCAAUAGCUUUUGCCAUCUCUUUGGUUACCACCACAGGAGGCUGCUGUUCAACUUGUUCCACUCUCUUAUUCGUAUCCUCAACGAGAACAAGCUUAGACGCAUCCUUAACACCAGCAGCUUGCAAUUGUUCAGCAUCAUCUCUCUCAACUCCCCUGAACAAGAUGUUCAAUUCACUAGCUUCCAACCCAGUUUUCUGAACAAGGGCUUUCUUCACAUCACCUAUAUAUCACAUUCCAGCUUAAACAUAUCAAUCUUAACUAGAUUAACACAACUUCAACAACUAGAUUAAGCAAGGAAAAUUUCAUAAACUCCAUAAUGAAUCACGCAAAAUUCUCUGAGGCUUCGAUAAUGUACACUAAGGAAAAAUCAGAAACGGAUCGGGAAAUGAGCUGAGCGUUUUGUUACCGAAAGUGGCGUGAGCAGAAAUAUGAAGAUCGUGGUGGGAUGAGCCAUGAGAAACAGUGAUUCUGAUGGUUUGAGAAAAAGCGGCGGAAGCAGAGUCGGGAUCCUGGAGAGGUUGGUCGGAGGAAGCGGUGUCGUCUCUUCGUUGGACGAGCAUACCACCAGGUCUCACCUCCCAUUCCGAUUCGUCGGUUGAAUUAUACAUCAUCGUUUUCGACAAGGAAUCGGAGUAUGAGAAUGGGAUAAAACCCUUUGGAGCAACAAAUUAGGGUUUUUUGACGACGGAUGAUGAUUCACGCCUCCUCAAGCGGCCAUACAAAUUCUCCUGAUACACACACGGGUUUUCAAUUUUUAUUAUUUUCCUUUUCUUUGGUAAUUAGAAUUUCUUACGAUUUGGGUGUCAACAAAUAUAUAUCUUACUAACAAUAAUUUUUCAUUUUUAUACAUAACAGAUAUUUUUGGUAUUUCACAUAUGAUGAUUCUUCACAUAAAUUGUGAAACGUCAACUUUUCUGUUAGUUAACGACUGGUUUUAGAUCCAACCAACCGGCCCUGAAUGGAAUGAGUUGUGCACGUAACACUCAUAUUGGCAGGAUUUGAACAGGCCUAAUUGCAGACAGGACUGUGCCCGGAUCAGGUCCCCAACCAAAAGGAAUUUAUAGGCCUAGAAUUUUCUUGAUUGAACAAAAAAAACAAAAACUAUCGAAGAGGAGUAUGGCCUCAAUCAGAAUUUAGUUAAGUAGAAACAGAGCAGCAAGUAGAGUAAUGGUGAUUUGUCCAUAGCAAUCGAACAUGGUAGCGACAAAUAUCUCGUUCCCUACUUGAUAGUCAGUUUUUGAUGACUGAAUCAUAUACCACUCGUUCCAUACUUGCUAUGCACUGAAAGACUGAUGCAUAUAUAAAGAUGCAGUUAAAAAAUGCGAAAGCGAUAAGAGGAACAAUUUAUACUACAGCUAUACUAGUAGUUGGUUAUCUAGCACCAAGCCCAAGAGAAGUGCCAAAAAAGAAAGCCAAUGCCAUGAUUCUAAGGCUAAAAACUUUGAAAAUGAAAAUUCUAGAGGCAAAUAGAGGCAUCCAAAAACGACUCAGAAAGUACAAACUUGAAAUCUCUAGGGCCAGAAUUGCCUGAACGUAAGAUGCAUAAAAAUGAAUGCGUAACCAUUUUCGAGAUUGUCAACAAGCUCGACACAUAUUUAUAGAACAACGAAGAAAGAUCUUGGAACAUCCAGAACAACAUACAGGAAGUAUAAGACCACACAAGCUACUACUUUGGUGAUACGUAUACAAUUAUAUACCCACGACCUGGUCAAGCUGAUAAGCUUCACUAGAUCAAUCUAAUCUGUGUGCAGCAGAGAAACAACAACAAACAAAACAUAGCUUCACUACACAAAUCUAAUCUCUGUGCAGAAUUAACAACAAACAAAACAUCCAAAACACACAAGAAACGAAGCAGCAAAUUUGAUCCCUCGUCAAAGUGUUUCUUUAUUUGAUCAACAUAACAAGAAAGUAGAUUAGCUUAUAGCUUUGUGGGAUCAAACAAAGCUAUUGUAUAGUGUGUAUCAUCACAUUUCUCCUCCUAAUUCUCAAAUAGACUCAAAAUCAAAUCUCUGUUUUCCCGGAAUAAACCAUUCCAAUCUUCCUACUCUUUUUCCAGAAACUAUAAUCAAACAUAUCAUUAUAAGAUGAACAAUAAUACCCACCAAAAGCUCGAACUUGGGGAAAAAUUCGAUAAACUUAAAAAAGAAUGAAGUUUAUACCAAACUAAGAAGCCACUACUUCAGCAGCUUGUUCAGUCGCCACCGCGGCCGCUUCAAUAAUCUUCUUAUUCUUCUCAAUCGCCGCCGCAACUUCCUGUGGCAUAUACUUCUCAUCAUGCUUAGCCAAAACUUCCGUCGCCGAGAAGAAACAAUCGAGAUUCCUAGCUUUCUGCGAAACAGGUUUUGUAGAAACUUCCUUCCUCACUUCAUCCGUAUACGGCUUAAUGAAUCCUUCAACCACAACUGAGUGACCUUCCCUAAACAGAUCCGGCAAAGAUCCUUUGUAUCUAACCAAAAUAUCAGUGAUCAGAUCGGUGAUCACAAACUCCAUCUCCUGUGACGCCGCCGGCUGCGCAACGCUACCUUCAAGAACCAAACCACCGAGUCUGAAUUUGUUUUUGGUUGGAUUCUCUGCGAAUUUCUCCAUAGCGUCUGAUGGCGUUAGGUAGAAGACGAGCUGAUCCUGGAAUUGGUUGAGGACGAUAACUACGAAUCCGGCGAUGCAGCUGAAGGUUAGAGCGUAGGUCCACAAACGGCGAUUCUGCAUCUGACGCGCUUUGGCUCCGAUGUCGAUCUUCUUAGGACGCGUUGGACCACGACGAGCGAUGGAGAGAGAUCGGAGGAAGGUUAAGGAUGAUAAUCGCGAUGGAUCUGGUGAAGCGGUGGUCAAUGAAUAAAAAAUCGGGGAAGGAGAUUCGAAUGAUGAUGAGAUUUGAGGAUUUCUUUGAAUAGAUCGUAGGAUUUGAGAACUUCGACGGAACAACAAUCUAGCCGCCAUUUUUUCUGAUUUUUCCUCGAGAAUUUUCUCGUGGGAAUCAAUCAAAUUCCGGAGAAAGUGAGAAGAGGUUUAUGGGGUUUUCUGGAAAAAUGAGGAAGAAGCCACAACCCACAAGCCGCCCCACUGAACUAUGGACCACGUCAAGAACCUCUGUAUAGGUUAGAGGGUUUAAUCACAAAGCUAAGUUUUUUUCUUCUGUCACAAAGUUUUCCAAAGAUGCAAAUGCAAGUGUCCAAAAAUUUUCUCUUCUGUGGGAUCAAAUCCUUACCGCGUAAACACACAUUCAAAGAGUAAGUUCGCUGGUAACACAAACAGAAUUGCACUUGAGCUAUGUACAAGAUCAGUAUGCUGACUUUUUUGGUUAAAAGACUACCAAUAAACUACUUUUUUGGUUAAAAGACUACCAAUAAACUACUUUUUUGGUUAAAAGACUACCAAUAAACUAUGUUUAGAAACCACCCAGUAUUUUUGAUUCGAGAAUGAGAAACGAUGAUGAAAAGUGUUUUGUGCAAAAAAAUGCACAAAGGUGAUAAACUCUUUUUUGUUGUUUUUUUUUUGUUUAAGAAGAGACUCUCUUGAAACCCAAACAUACAAAGAAAGAGGUACCUCAAGUUUCAAAAAUUCUUUAAAAGAAACAAAGACAAAUCUUCCUACUCAUUCUUGAGCAUUACUACUUGCGUCCAUUGGCUCAGCCUCUGUUGAAGCCUCUCCUUUCUCUCCUGCCUUCUUCGCUGCUAAACACCAAAUUGAAUCUUUUUAAUCAACAUGUGGAUCGCAUUAUAUAAGGUAAAAGUCUGGAAAUUUAUUUCUAAGUUCUUACCUUUCUUCUUCUUUCCACCACCCUUCUUCUUCUUGAUACCCAAGGCUAACCACCCUUGGAUCUCAGGGUCUUCACUAAUCUUAGUACCAAGCUCCUGAAGUGUAUGUGAAGUGAUCCUAUCCGAUCCAUUUGGCAUCAGCAAAACUGUGAACUUAAUUUGGGCAACAAAAUCCCCUGAAAAAUAACAUGAGUCCUGAUGUCAAGAUUCAGUUCUAUAUAUUAAAAAAAAAAACUUCAUCCUCCUUACCAGGCUUCUCGUAAAGAACAGGAUAUGGUUGCAAAUGACCAUGGUUCACACACUCCACAAGACCAAGACGAGCCCUUUUCUCCUCCAGUGACCUGUAUUGAUAGUACUCUCAGGAACCGUUAGUAAGUGAGAUAAUAUUUUUAAGAAAAUAAAAUGCUAAAGAGGGUAUAAAAGACACCUUGCAGUGAAUGGCAUACGGGGGAAGUUCUGUUUAAUUUCGCUGAUUAUGAAUCUGGAGGCCUUCAUCUUCAACUGAUAGUUAACACUCUCAUCUUUCUUGUAAAUAGUUGUUUGCUUCUCGUCUAAUAGCUUUGGCUGCAAAGUCAAAGAUUGUGAGAACAAUGGCAAUAGAUAAAGGUUCACCAAUAGUGAUCAAGAUACAAUAAACAAAAGCAAUUACCUUGCCAUCACCAGUGCUUGCCACAAUAUCUAUUGCAUAGACUUCAUUCUCUUCAAAUUCCACUUCGUCAACAGUUGUUUCAGGGCUCGAUACACUUAGCACAACCUUGUUUCCAUCUAUCACAUGCUGCUUCAUCUGGUGGGAAAGAACCCCUUCAACAAUUUUGCAGUCAUAAGCUCUAGCCACCUUCUGAAUGGCUUCAGUUACUUCAGUGUUCUGCCAUAAGAAAAACAGAAUAUCAAUGUCUUAAUUGCAAUAUGUUGUAUGAUUAAACAAGAAACUACAAACUCAUAGCAAGAAACUUUAUUUAAAAAAAAUUCCCACAUCAAAGUAGCUAUGGCCUCACUUGGAAGUGAAUCCAUAGCAAUUACAGCCUUUAUCCAGAAAUCUCUUCCCACAACAAUUUACAUGUUAAAUCCGUUAAAAAAUAAGCAAACCAUUCAGCAUCGUGCAAGACCAAGAGAGGCACAACUUAGACAAAGUUUCAUCGUCUCAUAGUAAAUCCAAUGAGGGAUCAUACUAAAGUUCAGAAAGAAAAAAAUCCCAUCAGAGUAACUAUGACAAAAAAGCAUCAGAUGGAUAAUAAUCCAUAGCCAUUUAUAAGUGUUCAUCAUCUGGGCUUUACAAAACCUUGACAAUCAUUCAAGAACCAAAUAAACCAAAAGCCUAUACUUUCAACUUUCAUGUAAAAAUAGUACUAGGGAUACCUUCUUUCCAGGACGUACGAGCCUCAAAGCAACGUCAGCUGCAGUAUUAGCGGCACGAAUAACAUCAGCUUUACGCCCAGUAACAGGCCCUUCUUGAAGAACAUGUGUGUGACCAACAAGAGCAAUGAACCCAUCAAUAUGGCAUCCCAUAUCACUGCGAUUGAAACGCAAAACAGCAUCAGUAAUAACACAGGUAAAUCAAACGGACACAUCUAAAAAAGGGUAUUACUUGAAGACAACUUACAUUUUAACCAUAUCACCAUCUUCCAACACAGACUCAUCACUGGCAAGCGGUGAGAAAUGACCAACAGUGUUGUUCACAGAAAUGCAUGUAGGGAAAGCAACACCUCUCUCAAUCUUCUUCUUAGCAUUCUUGUACAUGCUCGCUGUUUGCCUUUUAUUCAAAAAACAGAAGAAAGAACGAACACAUAAAUAUCUAAAAGCAAUCAAGAAAGCGAAAUCUACAUCAAGAACAAAUCUGAGAACAAAGAGAUCAAAAUCCUCACUCUUUGAUAAAAGCAUCUCCUUUCUCGCAGAUAUCAACAAUCUUAGCUUUUGGUUUGCAUUCAGCUAAAACAACCUGCAACGCCUCUGCAAUUCAAAACCCAACAGAAAUCGAUAAAGCUACACCGUGAAAACCCUAAAUCCAAAUCGUACUUAAAAUCAAAAGAAGAAAAGAGAAAGAGAGGGUAUUACUGUUAACGAUCUCAGCGGCGGUCUUGUACUUGGUAACGACUUCAGGAGAGGUAAGACUCAGUUCCUGCUCGUCUCUCUCAUCGUCCGAACUCAUCUCUGAUAACUCUCGACGAUCGAAACAGGGGAAACAAAAUGUUAGGGUUUAAGGAGGAGCGAUUGGGGGAAAAUGGUGGAGAAGGAGAGAACUGAAAGUGUUGGCUCAAAUAAAGGUGCUAGGGUUUUCGCUUUGUGUACUCUCUUCUUAAACGGCACCGUUUUGGAUUAAUCCCUUAAACGGCACCGUUUUGGAUUAAUCCCUUAUUUAUGCGUUUUCCAGUUACGCGUUACUCAUAUACUCAACAUGGGCCGAAGGAAAGCUGUUUCAGAUAAGCCCACGUCAGGUGGCUCUCAUUAGUCAUUAUACGUUGCAAAUUAUUUAUUCUUCAAGACAAUAAAUUCAUAUAAUUCGAUAUUAAAUAUUUAUUUAAUUUUUUGUGUUAAGAAAAUCGUUUAUGGUAAGGAUAUAUUCAUAUAAUUCGAAUAGUGAUGUUUAAAGUUUUUUUUUUCUACGUUCAUUUUGUUUUUGAUUAAUCUAACAUUACCUUAAAAAAAAUUAACGACGGCUAUAUCUAUAUAUAACAAUAUUUGAGAAGUGUUUUUGCUGACGUGUCGGACUCUCGGCUCUUGUUGAGUCCUUGAUUUUACGUAAUUACUUAAAUACCUUCUAUUAAAUCAAGUCGAAUAUCAACUAAUGUUCAAUUACAUAAGUGAAUAUUUGAUAUAAUUUACAUUUUAUAAAAUUAAUAAAAUUCGUAAACACGAAAAAAUAAGAAAACCUAAAAAAAAAUGGAUCGAUUGUAACAUUUUUUUAAAUUAAUAAUAUUCGUAAACACGAAAAAAUAAGAAUACCUAAAAAAAAUGGAUCGAUUGUAAUUUACGUACCAAUUUAGAAGAUGUUCAUCGUACCUCAUCAUCAUGUUCUUCGUCGCAUGUAAACUUUUUAAUAUACAUACCAGACUUGAAAACCUAAAAUAUAGCAUAUAACCAGAGAGAAUCGACAAUUUAGUGAUAGAACAUCAUCUUUUGAUCGAAUCUCACAUGAUGGAAAGACGACUCUUAAUUAAUAUCUUGUCCAUGCCAAGUCUUCAAACCAUCAUAUUGAAUUAUUGAUGCUAUCCUGCACCAUAGAGUUCAAGCUAAUAAAAGAGGGUGUUCUUUAAAAUUACCUUGAAUUAUCUGAUUGGAUCAUGCACGAAUAAUGAAUAUAGACUCGAUGAAAGUGUAUUAACCUCCAUUGAUCGUAAUGAAAAACGUGGGAUUUCGUAGAAGGAGACGGAAAAUGGUCGUGUGUCUUCCUUUUUUUUUCUUUUUUUUUUCGUUUUGUUUUCCGUUUUUUUUUUGUUUUUUUCUUUCUUUCCCAACCAAUCGUUUGUGAUAAUUAUGAGUUAAAAAUUAAAUUUCCUUUUUUGAUAAGUAGAUAUUGGCAAAAAAUAUCAAAACAAUCCUACGUAUAUUCUUUAAAUCUGAUUCAUAUCUCUAAUAAAAUUUUAUUUUUUAAAUAUUUUAUGUCGAUAAUGACGGAAAAUCUAAACAAAUGUAAGAUAUAGUAGUAAAUCUAAAUCGUUAUGUUAUUAUUCCAUCUUUAUCUUAAAAUAAAAUGAAACGUUACUUAAAAUUAAUAUGUAUAAUAUUGAAUAAGACAAUUUUAAAUUAUUAAUUUUUAUUAAUUUUUAUAAUUUUACAAGGUAUUUAUAAGGUUUUACAAUGUAUUUUAAAAGGUUUUGCAACGUAUUUACAAGGUAUUUAUAAGAUAUUAUAAGAUUUUACAAGCUAUUUUAUAAGGUUUUUACAAGUUAUAAGGUUUUACAAGGUUUUUAUAAGGUUUUACAAGUUAUAAAUACCUUAUAAAACCUUAAAAGUACCUUGUAAAACCUUUUAAAAUACAUUGUAAAACCUUACAAAACACUUGUAAAUACCUUGUAAAAAACCUUUAAAAUACCUUGUAAAUUUUUCCCGCCAAAAAUUUUCCCGCCAAAAAAAUUUCGCAAAAAAAAUUGUGGAAUCACUUUUCUCGCAAAAAAAAUUUUUUGGCGGGAAAAAUUUUUACGGGAAAAUUUUACAAGGUUUUUUAAAGGUUUUUACAAGUGUUUUGGCGGGAAAAUUGCGGGAUCACUUUUCCCGCCAAAAAAUAUUUUGUAUUUUGUGGACCUAAUUUUGUUUCAAAUAAGGGUAAAAUGGUCAUUAAAAAUUAAAAGAGGGCAAACUUAAAAAUGGACUCUCAAAGGGGGUAUUUUUGAAAAGGAGCAUUUUUAACAAUUUCUCAAAAAAAAAAGGAACAACGAAGUACCAGUUAGGAAGCUUUAAUUGAAUUCAUCGUGUUCUUCGUCGUGUGAAUAUAAUUCUUCUAAACGAAGGCAAAACUUGAAAUCCUAACAUAAAGCAUAUAUUCAUAGCAAUAACAGAGAUCUAAUAAUUUAGUGAUAGAAUUUCACCUGUUGAUCUGUCGAAGCAGAAUAGUCAAGCUUCUCAUAGUAUCUUGCCCAUGUUAUGUCUUUAAGACGUCAAUACUAUCCUGCACCCUAUAAUUCUAACCAAUGAAAAGAACAAAUAUUUAUUACCUUGGAUACAGAGUUGACGAAGAAACCUUGGAUAAAAACUCGACGAAGAAACUUGUAAGUGUUAAUGUAUGAUGAAGCUUCCAUGAACGUGAAUUCGUGAUCAUAAUGAAGAAACGUGUGAAUGGAGACGGUUGAUGGUUUUUUUUUUUUUUUUUUUUUUUUUUUUUUUUUUUACCUUUUGUGUAAACAGAUCUGUUUCAUAAUUUAUCGGAAAAUGAAUUAUACCAAAAAAAAAAUCGGAAAAGGAAAAUAUUUAUUAUAAUAUUGAUAUAUUUAAGAUGAUAAUGUCAAAUAUCUGAAAAUUAUUAAUCGGAGCAUUAAUAUAAACAUAAAAGAAUACUAUUCUAACCUUACUCAAAUUAAUAAGAUUUAGAUAUCCGAAAUUAAUCGUAAACGGCUAUUAAUUGUUAAACUAAUUAAAAUAAAGAUCAAACAUACCGGAAUAGAUGAAAUUUUUGGUAUGAUCGUCGUGUUCGUCGUCGUUUCAAUCUAAAUAUUUGGAAAAAAAAACUAAAAAAAUAAUAUGUAGAUCAAUGAAAGAGAACCCACCAAUUUAGAAACGGUUAUCACGCCAUCGUAUUGUUCGUCGGAUGAUUAUAAGUCUCUAAUCCGGAGAUUGACUUGAACCCUGACAAAAACAUAUAUUCAUAGCAUAAAAUCGUAAAUAGAAGGUAGAAGAUCACCUAUUAAUCGGUUGUAUUGGGCAAACUCGAUUUAAUUUUGACGAAUGAAAUGUUGGUGUGGUGUCAAAACUUUCUUGGGGAGACUCGAAGAUGAGAGAGCUGAAGUCAGAGAUAGGCAGAGAGGUUUACAUGUGAAUUAAGGUAUGGAGUGCUAACGUGAACAUGAACGUGAACAGCGGUGAUUUUUGCACAUAAUAGCAAUUAGAUCGAGUUUUGGAAAAAAAUAUGGAUCAGCGUGACAUGACGCAUAUGGAUACCAUGCAUGUCUAUCUAUUGUAAAUCAAAAAUUAUAUUAUUGUUCCGCCUUAUUUUUGAAACAGAAAGGAAUUUUCCCUUAAAUUUUAAUAUAUUUUAUAAGAUAGUAUCAGAUAUAGUAGUAAAUCUAAAAUAGUUGUUAUUAUUCCAUAUUUUUACGGAAAAAAGUAAAUAUUAUUUUAAAUAAACAUGGAUAACAAUGAAUAAAUGGCAGUUUUACAAAUAUUUAUUAUUAUGAUAGUGAUUUGCUUAUUAAAAUAUGUAAAUUUUCUUUUCUUUUUUUGUAUUUAUCGUCGAAAAAUUUAGAAACCCUAAAUCAUGCACCGCCUCCUAUUCAAUAUAAAUACCUUGCUCAUGGUAUUCAAUUUCAGAUCAUAACUAACCCUUGUUUUUUUGUUCUUUUUUUUCAAAUUUUUUUUUGCUUCUACCUAAUUUUAAUUUUUCUUUUUAUUGUAGGGUGGAUGUAUGAAGGGGACGAUGUGAACUGGUGUAUGGAAAAUUUGGACCUAAUUCAAUGAAUAAACAGGUGAUCUUAUAGUUUAUAUGUACAAAUUUGAUUUUUUUUUUUGUAUUUAUGGUUUCACUAUUUUCACCACUAAUCAAUUUUUAUAAUCAAAAAGUUUGGUUUCAACUUUUGAGAAGGUAAUCAUCGAUGGUUUGGUAUGUUUCUUUUUGUUGUAAAAAGAUGAGGUACCUCCCGAUUUUGUUGAGGUACAUGUUCUUAUUAUUUUCAAAUAUGUCUUUUUUCAGAAGAAACACUCAACUUUUGAUAACACAGUUGCCACAAAGUCAGAAAGAUGACUUAUUUCAGGGAUGAAUCUUCAGAGGAGGCUAAUUUUUGUCGUUAAUACAAUUUAAGUAUUCCUCUCUUUAGAUUAGGGAUAACAAACUUGCUGUUAAAUUCAGGAAUUACUCUUCGUUGCCAAUCUCUCUCCCCAAACUAAAAUAUUACAUAUAUGGAAGUAGUAACUUAAAGUUUUUGGUAUCGAGGUCAUUCUAAGGCACUGAGAUUCGGACUUUGGUAUGUAUAGGAUUCGUUUUCCAUGCACUAAGAUUUAAUUAUUGUUUAAUUUAUUGGUUUUUAGGUUUCUUUCCAUGCUCUGAUGCGUUUUCGGGUGUGCCAAUGGAAGCUUGCAUCACUCUUUACUCCAAGCGUAAGUAUGCUCUGCAUUAGCUUCUUCUGUUCCAUUGGUUAUUAUGGGUUUUGACUUUUGAGAAAUAUACAACAAUUUAAAACCAGGUUUUGUUGUUGAUUGGUUCGGUUUGUAUACCAUAUUUUGCUAAAUACAUAUGACCAUAAAUAAGACCAAAGGAGCUGGGUUAGCUCCUUUGCCAGCUAGGUUGACUUCGUCUCCUCCCCGUCUUGCGGAUUUCCGUUAUUCAACGGGUAUAUUUGAGAAGUAUACGGUACUAAAACCACAACCAUUGAUCUUAGCUUGACCGGUUCUUCCCUAGGAUUUAUACAUAAAAGUAAAUUGUUUUGUUUAAUAAUUUUCCAUUGCAUGAACUUUCGAGACAGCAAGUGGACAGGAGUGUAAUGUCAUCAAAAGUCAAAUCAAACACUGUGAGGAACAUAAUAGACAACGUUGGCUUCUUUCGCAGCUGCUCAACGUUGUCUCUCCCGAUGGUCCCAACACUCUCUUCUUCUUUUUUUGUCAACAUUCAAACGUUGUUUAAAAUAAAUAAAAAUGUUUAACUUUAAUCAUCUUUCUAGAUCUUUAAAUGCCUAAAACUUCAACUUAAUCAGUCAGCAAUCCGUCACGUUAAUGAUUUUGAAAGGAAGACUUUUGUUUUGUUUCAGUUAGUUUUGUUUGUUUAGUAUUUUAAUCACAAGAUAACUCUAAUUUUCCAUUAGAGUUGUGUUAAUUGUGUUGAUUAUGAUUUGGCGUUCCAAUUCUGAUAUUAUUUUUAUGUUGUAAAUCUUAAACUGUUACGUUAUUGUUCUAUCUUCCUAUGUGAGAAAAAAGUAAAAUGUUUUAAAAUUUUGACAUGGAUAAUAAUAUAAUUGUAAAUCUAUAAUAAUUAUAUUAUCAUUUUAUUUAUAUUUUUCAAAAAGAAAUAUAUUUAUCUUAAUAGAUUUAAUAUGAUAAUGUCAAAUAUAGUUAUAAAUCUAAAAGAGUUAUGUUAUUAUUCCAUCCUUUUAUGAGAAAAAAGCAGAUAUUCUCUUAAACUUUUAAAUUAACGUGGAUAAUAAUAAAUAAAUGAUAAUUUUACUAAUAUGAUAAUGAUUCGGUUUUAAUCUUACCAAAAAACAAAUAAUGAUUCUGUUUUAAAAAUAUAUAAAUUUUCUUUGUUUAGUUGUAGAUAUUGUCAUAUAAAAAAUUCUUAGAUCCUCCACUGUCUUAAUUUUAUGUAAAUACCUUGCUUGAUAUUUAAUUUUGAUUUGAUAUCAUAACUAAUCCUUGCUUUUUUUUCGGCACUAACCAUUGAAUUUUUUAUACUGCCAUUUAAUUCUUGCAUAAAAAUAAUAAUUAAUAGUAGUGUUUAUUAUGAAUGCAGGUUUGUUUUCCAUAAAAACUAGAUUGGAUUUAUGGAAGCACGUCAUUGUUUCCAGUGCGAAGAAACAAAUGUCGUAUCACUGCUGUUGUGGCUCUUUAGUACUUUCGUUUCUGUUUAUGGCUUUGCUUCGGUUGUAUGGUUAGUCAUCAAUCAUUGAUCUUCUCAUUGUUUGAAUAUUGUUGCAUAGGAAAAAUCUUCCUUUUUUAUGAAUCUUUCAAAAGUUGGGUUCAUGCUAUUCUCAGUGAUUGAUUACGUUUAUUGAAUAUUUGUAUGCUUCCUCUGCUGAUAUUCUAAUUCAUGCUUUAUUCGUCGUCUUUGAUACACUCUGAUUAACCAUUGUGGACCUCUAGAGUCUAAUUUGCAAUAUUAAUGCAAGUCUCUUUAACUUACGGAUUAUGAAGAGCAUCCUAAGAUCGUUUAAUUUGAUUCAGGCUUUAUGUGGCUAAUGUUUGGUCUUGGAUGUGAAUUAGUCUAUCAUGUUUCUUGGAAGGUAGGAAGCAAUCUUGAUGUUUACGAAAAUCCAAUGUGCUCUUUUGUAGCUCAGUUUUGAAAUAUGUACUAAUUAUUGUAGAGGGAACCCGAAACAAAGAGACCAUAUGUAUGAUUUUAUAUGCGAAGAGAAGCUCCGAAUUUGAAAUCGUCUCCACUCCGGUGAUAUGUGGCCAUGGUGUGAAGGAGUCUGGAGCCAUGGUUAUUUCAGAUUCGGACAUAACCGUAAUUGUUAAACUAAUAAAAAUAAGAUCAAACGUACCGGAUUGAUGAGAAUUUUUGGUGUUCUUCGUCAUGUUCUUCGUCGUAUGGAUCUAACAAAACAAAAAAUAUAUAUAUACCCCAGAAUUUUUUUUUGUUUGUUAAUAGAGAGAACCCACCAAUUUUGUAGCGUUGAUUGUGACAUCGAAUUGUUUGUCGGAUGAAUAUAAGUCUCUAAUCCGGAGACUGAAGUUGAACCCUAACAAAAACAUAUAUUCAUAGCAUAAAAUUCAUAAAUAAAAGGUAGAGCAUCACAUAGCUUUUUCUUCAAAGCCAACACAUCUCUCUUUGUAGCCGAAUUACUCUCCAGUUUGGUAUAUACUCAAAUUUUCCAAUGACUUCCUUCUCGAACCUGGAGCGUUUUUGCUUUGCCGGAUAUUUUUAGGAUAUGGCUCUUAUGUAUCUCUUGUGAGUCACUUGAUAUGUUGUUUAGGUAAAACUUUUGGUUUGAAAGAGAAUGAUCUACGACAAGCAUAAUCGGUUAUUUGUUAUAUAUGUGGCCAUGUUCAUAUUGCUUUCUCCACAAGCAAUUUUCCAGUUUUGUAGCAUUCGAUAUUUAAAUUUAAAAGCUUCAAUACGUUGUAUACAUGUGUAUGUAUGUACAUAUAUGAAUUAUUCUCAGUUGCACAUAGUGGUUUCUAAUGGAUAGAUACUUGCUCUCUGUAACCCUCUCAUUUUUAGUACCUAUCUUCAGUGUUUACUUUGCUAAGAGCUUCUUGAUAGGCAUACAUCUUUGCAAUCUCAGAUCAAUAUACUACAAAUACAUAUACGAUACAGUUAAGAAAAUGAUAUUUCUCUUACAACUUUUUAUAUAGGUUUUAUAAACAAGAGAUCAACUGAAGGGUUACGCAGCGACCAAUGGCGAAGGUAGAGACAAAGAUACUACAAUAGGGACGAUAAAUAUGACACGAUAUAUACAAAGGAGAUGCCUGUUUCUAUACCAUUGAAAUUUUACGUACAUAACUACUUCAAAGAGCAAGAUGACUUACUUGAUAGGUAAGAGAUAUGGUAAGAGAUUAUAUUUUUCAAUUAUUUGUUUCCAACUACGAAAAACUCCGUGACAUACAAUCUAAAAGCAUGAAUAUGUCAUAAAAUCAAGAAUACAACAAAAACCAGGAAGAUGGGCCCAAAUUAAAGUCCGAAACUGGACUUGGGGAACCCACGGACAGUGGCGGUCGGAACGUUACAAAUAUGAAAGAAACGAGGAAGCGUGAAUAUGUCAUAAAACCAAGAGUACUACAAAACCAAGAAGAUGUGCUCAAAGAACGAAACUGGACGUGGGAACCCACAGACAGUGGCGGUCGUGGCAUUACAAAUAUGAAAGAAACGAGUAAGCAUGAAUAUGUCAUAAAAUCAAGAGUACGACAAAACAAAGAAGAUGAGCCUAAAGACCGAAACUGGACGUGGGGAGCCCACAGACAGUGGCGGUCGGGGCGUUGCUAAUAUGAAAGAAACGAAUAAGCAUGAAUAUGUCAUAAAAUCAAGAGUACGACAAAACAAAGAAGAUGGGCCUAAAGACCGAGACUGGACGUGGGAACCCAUAGACAGUGGCGGUCGGGGCGUUGCUAAUAUAUUGUUGGUUUAAAUAUAUAGAUUUUUUAUAUUUAAUUCUAUUAUAUAUAUCAAGAUAUAAACACUAAUAAUUGUUUGUGAUUCAAAAACACUAUUAAUUGUUGAUUACUAAUAAUAUAUAUCAAAAGUUAUAGCGUUUUACCAUAAUUCUAUAUUAAUGUCGUUAUAAAAAUUAGACUCUUGACAAAAUUAAUUCAAUAAAUAUCCCUAACUUGAUAACCCUAAAUAUUAAUUAUUAAUUCUGGUAUUAAUUAACAUACAACCCCGCGUUGGGCGCGGGGACCUCCCCUAGUACAUUGUUGAAUAGCUAUACAUUUUUUUAUAAUAACUAGGUGAGUACCCACGCUACGCGUGAGAUUUGUUUUAAAAAUAAGUUAAAAAAAAAUAUGUUGAUUUUUUUUUAUAGUUUUGUUCAUUUUAUUGUGUUACACGAUUUGCAUUAUCAAAUUGCCUUAGUAUACCAUAUCUUGAUAUUAAACUUGUGAUGUUGGUUAAACUUCUUACUAAUUUCUUUCGUCUUCUGUCAAACCAAUUUAGCUUGUCCAUUGCCUACGUUUUCUAAUUUCAAAUUUAGACAACAUAUUUCACUUUGUUUAUGUUUUUUCUAUAGACAAUGAAACAUAAGGAAAUGACCAGAUCAUGAAUGGAUUAGUUGCAUAGAAGAUGGAACAAAAUUCCAUUAUGCAAUCUCUCUUUUGUGUUUCGGUUACAUUUAAAUGAGAACGAUUUAUCCAUAUAUUUUGUUUUGAUUUUUGGGUUUCACAUAUAUUAUUAGGAAAAAAGUUAAGAUAUCAGAUAAAGAGAACAUGUGACUAAUUCAUAAACUUCAUUAGAAUAUGCAUCUCACAUAGCCUAUCAAUGGCACGGCUUAAACUCUUCAAAAUUGGUACUCUUCUCUUGCAUUAUAUUGGGAACCGUAACAAAAGCUCAAACAUUCAACUAUGGAGGUCAUGCUAAGAACACCUCCAUCAAUUAGAAGAAACUCGGGAGUAUAUUAUCAAUAAAAUACUAAAAAAAAAUCUAUAUAUAAUAGCAAUCUCAAUAAAUGUCUUUUGUACGUCUGAACGGUUGCCUCUUUUUAUCGUAACUUCUCGUUAAAAUAUUAACGGUUAUUUUUUGGGUGUCUUUUUUAUUUCAACUCUUCGUUAAAAUAUUGACGGUUACUUUAUUGUUGACGGUUAUUUUUUGGUUAUGUAUUUUUUUGCAACUUUCCGUUAAAAUAUUAGAGGUUACUUUUUUUCGUUUGUGUUUUUUUAUCGCUACUUUCCUUUAAAAUACUAACGAUUAUUUUUUCUCGGUUGUGUCUUUUUAUUGCAACUUUUCGUUAAAAUAUUGAUGGUUAUUUUUUCUCGGUUGUGUCUUUUUAUCGCAACUCUUCGUUAAAAUAUUGAUGGUUAUUUUUUCGUUGACGGUUAUUUUUUCGGUUGUGUCUUUUUAUCGCAACUUUCUGUUAAAAUAUUGACGGUUACUUUUUCUGUUUCUGUCUUUUUAUCGCUGCUUUCCGUUAAAAUAUUUACAGUAAUUUUUUCUCGGUUGUGUCUGUUUUUCGUAACUUUCUGUUAAAAUAUUGUCGGUUAUUAGUUAUCGGUUGUGACAUUUUAUCGCAACUUUCUGUUAAAAUAUUGACAGUUAUUUUUCCUCGGUGGUAUCUUUUUAUUGUAAAUCUUCGUUAGAAUAUUGACGGUUAUUUUUUUUGAUGACAUUUAUUUUUUCGGUUGUCUUUUUAUCGUAACUUUACGUUAAAAUAUUGACGGUUACCUUUUUCGUUUGUUUUUUUUGUUAUCGCCACUUUCCGUUAAAAUAUCGAUGGAUUUUUUGUCAGUUGUGUCUUUCUAUCGUAACUUUUCGUUAAAAUAUUGACGGUUAUUUUUUCUCGGUUGUAUUUUUUUAUCGCAACUUUCCGUUAAAUAUUGACGGUUAAUAUUUUCAUUGACGGUCUUUUUAUCGCAACUUUCCGUUAAAAUAUUGACUUUUAUUUUUUCGCCUUGUCUCUUUUUAUCGCAACUUUCCCGUUGAAUAUUGAAGGUUAUUUUUUUUCGGUUGUGUCUUNNNNNNNNNNNNNNNNNNNNNNNNNNNNNNNNNNNNNNNNNNNNNNNNNNNNNNNNNNNNNNNNNNNNNNNNNNNNNNNNNNNNNNNNNNNNNNNNNNNNNNNNNNNNNNNNNNNNNNNNNNNNNNNNNNNNNNNNNNNNNNNNNNNNNNNNNNNNNNNNNNNNNNNNNNNNNNNNNNNNNNNNNNNNNNNNNNNNNNNNNNNNNNNNNGAACUCAAGGUAGCCCGCGACGGCGGAGUUGCAGCGAAGGUUCAUAAGUUAGGCUACAUCCGGCUCUAAAGAGUUCUCUGGAUGUGUUUGAGGCCGUGAGUGGCUUGCCACCCGACCGGUUUGAUCCAUUCACCAUUGAACUCGAAGCGGGAACAACUCCUAUAUCUAAAGCUCCAUACCGGAUGGCACCGGCAGAAAUGGCGGAGCUAAAGAAACAAUUGGAGGAGUUGUUGGAUAAAGGAUUUAUUAGACCAAGUAGUUCACCAUGGGGUGCACCGGUCUUGUUUGUAAAGAAAAAGGAUGGUAGCUUUAGGCUAUGCAUUGACUAUCGGGGAUUGAAUAAAGUUACGAUUAAGAACAAAUAUCCAUUACCCCGGAUAGAUGAGCUGUUGGACCAACUCGGAGGCGCUAGGUGGUUCUCAAAGAUAGACUUGGCGUCGGGAUACCAUAAAAUUCCGAUAGAACCAUCUGAUAUUCGGAAGACGGCCUUCCGGACGAGAUAUGGCCACUAUGAGUUCGUAGUGAUGCCAUUCGGACUAACCAAUGCACCGGCAGCCUUUAUGAAGAUGAUGAAUAGUGUUUUCCGAGAAUUCUUAGAUGAGUUUGUGAUCAUCUUCAUCGAUGACAUACUUGUCUAUUCCAAGGAUUGGAAAACUCAUCAAAAUCAUCUAAGGGCGGUGCUAGAACGGUUAAGGGAACAGAAGUUAUUUGCAAAGUUAAGCAAAUGCUCAUUUUGGCAAAGGAGUAUCGGAUUCCUCGGACACAUAGUAUCGGAACAAGGAGUGUCCGUAGAUCCGGAGAAAAUCAAAUCCAUCAAGGAUUGGCCACGGCCAAGGAAUGCCACGGAGAUUAGGAGUUUCUCGGGUUGGCGGGAUAUUACCGAAGGUUCGUAAAAGGCUUUGCGAGUAUGUCCCAACCGAUGACUCGACUAACCGGGAAAGAUACUAAGUUUCAAUGGUCGGAGGAAUGUGAGAAGAGUUUCUCCGAGUUGAAGGCUAUGCUAACAAGCGCUCCGGUAUUGGUAUUGCCGGAAGAAGGUGAACCUUACAUGGUCUAUACGGAUGCAUCGAUCACGGGACUAGGAUGCGUAUUGAUGCAAAAGGGUAGUGUAAUCGCUUAUGCUUCAAGGCAAUUGCGUAAACACGAAGGGAAUUACCCUACGCAUGACUUGGAGAUGGCCGCGGUGGUGUUUGCCUUGAAGAUUUGGCGAUCAUAUCUUUAUGGAGCCAAAGUCCAAAUCUUCACGGACCACAAAAGUCUUAAGUACAUAUUCACCCAGCCGGAGUUGAAUCUAAGGCAAAGAAGGUGGAUGGAAUUUGUGGCGGAUUACGACUUAGAUAUUGCCUAUCAUCCGGGAAAGGCAAAUCAAGUCGCCGAUGCCUUAAGUAGGAGACGUUUCGACGUAGAAGCGGAGAAAAACCAAGUGGACUUGGUUAACAUGAUGGGGACAUUGCAUGUGAAUGCGUUAUCCAAGGAUCUUGAACCAUUGGGUUUAGGUGCGGCUGAUCAAGCCGAUCUACUUAGUAGAAUUCGUUUGGCCCAAGAGAAGGACGCGGAGUUGAAAACUUGGGCAAAGAACAAUAAAACGGAGUACCAAACAUCGAACAAUGGUACCAUAGUGGUGAACGGUCGUGUAUGUGUGCCGAAUGACAAAGGUUUGAAGGGGGAAAUCCUUAAAGAAGCGCACCAAUCAAAGUUCUCGAUUCACCCCGGGUCCAAUAAGAUGUACCGAGACCUAAAAAGGUAUUACCAUUGGGUGGGAAUGAAGAAGGAUGUAGCCGAAUGGGUUGCCAAGUGUUCGACGUGCCAACUUGUCAAGGCGGAACAUCAAGUACCAAGUGGGUUAGUACAAAACUUACCCAUGCCCGAAUGGAAAUGGGACCAUGUAACGAUGGACUUUGUUACCGGGUUGCCUACGGGGAUAAAGUCUAAGCACAAUGCGGUUUGGGUGGUGGUGGACAAAUUGACUAAGUCCGCACACUUCAUAGCAAUUUCCGAAACGGAUGGAGCCGAAGAUAUAGCCGCAAGGUAUAUCGAGGAGAUAGUACGAUUACACGGAGUGCCGGUAGGCAUUGUGUCGGAUCGUGAUACACGGUUCACAUCGCAUUUCUGGAAGGCUUUUCAAAAAGCCUUAGGAACGAGGGUGAACUUAAGUACUGCUUACCACCCGCAAACGGAUGGGCAAUCUGAACGGACGAUUCAAACCCUUGAGGACAUGUUGCGUGCAUGUGUCUUAGAUUGGGGUGAGAAUUGGGAGAAGUACUUAAGGUUGGUGGAAUUUGCCUAUAACAAUAGCUAUCAAGCUAGUAUUGGUAUGUCACCUUACGAGGCGUUAUACGGACGGGCAUGUCGGACACCGCUAUGUUGGACACCAGUAGGCGAACGCAUGUUGUUCGGUCCGAAGAUUAUGGAUGAAACCACCGAAAAGAUGAAGUUCCUAAAGAUCAAACUAAAGGAAGCACAAGAUCGACAGAAAAGCUAUGCGGAUAAGCGUCGUAAGGAGUUGGAAUUCCAAGUAGGAGACUUGGUGUAUCUUAAGGCCGUAACGUAUAAGGGCAAGGGACGAUUUUCAACAAGGAAAAAGUUGAGUCCAAGGUACGUUGGCCCAUACAAGGUGAUCGAACGAGUAGGGGCUGUGGCCUACAAACUCAAACUUCCGCCGAAGUUAGAUGCGUUUCACAAGGUUUUCCACGUAUCACAACUAAGGAAAUGCCUAAGUGAACACGAGGAGCGAGUAGAAGAUGUUCCUUCGGAGUUAAAAGAAAACUUAACGGUGGAAGCAAAUCCAAUUCGGAUCAUUGAUCGAAUGGAAAAGGGGACAAGGCGGAAAAAGAUAAACAUGAUAAAAGUGUUAUGGGAUUGUGGAGGCCGCGAAGAAACUACUUGGGAAACCGAAAAUAAAAUGAUGGCUGAUUUUCCUAAGUGGUUUAGAGAGAUGGGUAAAGAUCAACUUGAGUCGGAUUCGGGGACGAAUCCCAUUCAAGGGGGGGAGACUUGUAACGCCCGCGAUCCUCAAUAGGAUCGUCGGAUGAGACUUGGUCCGAGAAAAGGAGGAGAAACUCGGACAAGUCUAGAUUGGAGCUGCCCAUCAGCUCGGAUAAAGAGAAUAAUGAACGUUAAGUAGCCAAACCAGCUCCCGUAUAGCUCAACUAAGCUCGAAGUACUUCCGGGUAGCUUAGCUAAGCUCGGGUAACUAUCGGGUAGCUCAGCUAGCUCGACCAGCUGCCGGAUAGCUCAGCUAAGCUUGGGUAACUGUCCGACGGUUGGACGGUUAGGCGGUUACGGAAGGACGGUUGGGCGGUUACGGAGGAGCGGUUAGGCGGUUACGGAUGACGGUUACCAACGGGCGGUUAUGGACCGAAUGGGCGCCUUCUAGAGAACGGUUAGAGAAACGGUUUCUGAACGAAACUCUAUAAAUACAAGGCGUUUGGGACGAUUUCAGACACGGAAAAACUGAGGGAAAAAUACAGAAACUCUCGGAGAACAUUUUGAGAGAAAACACUUAAGAGAGAGUUACGAUCGGUGCGAUCGAAGGUGAGACGGUUCUAGACUUUGUGUCCGAACCUAAGGAGAUAUGAUACGUACGAUCUAGCCUAGGGAUUGUUCCGAUGACUUAGAAGAAGUCCGGAACGAUUAGGGUGAUAUUGUAGUAUCGGGGAAUCAUUCAUAUCAUGCAUAAACUUGGUUCGAAUGGCGGAUCGGUUGAAAUGGGGAUGCGGCUCGGCGGAGGAUCGGCGGAUCUGUGAAGAUCUACCGUGAAUCGGCCGAACUGAUGCGCAUACUUCCACUCUCCGAUCUGUUCUUCGUUCCGGGUGGUUAAAAGGCCUAGAGAGCAUUGCAUGGACUUGCAUAUAAUAAGUAAAACGGAUACUUAUGCCUCUUUGACUUUCAGGAAAGGAUGGUGAUCGUGGGAAGGACUUGGCUUAGGCGUGAGAGACUCAAGGCCGGGAAGAUGGGUGGUGAUGAAUCGGGUAGAAUAGGAUCGAUUAUAUGACUUGUAAUAGCUUAUAUGCAAACUCAUAAGUUGUAUCGAAUCCUUUUAAGUAUCUAAUAAAGUAUCCGAUUCUUUGUUUACUCUAUUAUCGCAUAUUGACUCUAAGUAUUGAAUCUCAGAAUAUCGUAAAUCGGAUUGUCUUAAGGAAAAUGGCCCUAAAAUUUGACUAAGGAUCGGAUCACUUAAUGAUUUGGUCAGAGAGAACCUCUCCGNNNNNNNNNNNNNNNNNNNNNNNNNNNNNNNNNNNNNNNNNNNNNNNNNNNNNNNNNNNNNNNNNNNNNNNNNNNNNNNNNNNNNNNNNNNNNNNNNNNNNNNNNNNNNNNNNNNNNNNNNNNNNNNNNNNNNNNNGAGGCCGAUGAGUUAAUGAUGCAUGAAGUGGUUUAUCUCAAUGAAAUCAAGGUCAAACCAAACAGUUUUGAAUCCAAUCUUGACACUGAGAAUGUGUGGUAUCUUGAUAAUGGUGCAAGUAACCAUAUGAGUGGAAAUCGAAGCUUCUUUAUGAGUCUUGAUGAGACAAUUGUGGGAAAAGUAAAAUUUGGAGACGACUCCCGUAUUGAUAUAAAGGGCAAAGGAUCAGUUAAGUUUGUGUUUCGGGAUGGUGAGAAGAAAGUCUUGAAGAUUUUGAAGAACGUAUACUAUAUACCGGAUUUAAAGUCAAAUAUUUUGAGCCUUGGUCAAGCCACAGAAGGAGGAUGUGAAGUUCGUAUGAAAGGAGAUCUUUUGAUGCUUUAUGAUCGACUUGGUCAGUUACUAGUCAAAACAGCAAGGUCUCCUAAUCGGUUGUACAAAGUAGCGUUGGAAGUUGAUGUCGUAUUGUGUCUACAAGUGAUCUCAUCAUCGAAAUCAAACAAGUGGCAUUCACGCUUGGGACAUGCUAACUUGGACACAAUAAAGACAAUGGUCAAUGAGGAUUUAGUGUCUGGUGUACCAAGAUUUGUAGUUGAAAAAGAAACAUGUGUAUCAUGUCUUCUGGGAAAACAAACAAGACAGCCCUUUCCACAAGCAACAAGUUUUCGAGCCACACAACCUCUUGAGCUUAUUCAUGGAGAUCUCUGUGGACCUAUUACACCCUCGACUGCGGGCCAAAAGAGGUAUGUAUUUGUGAUCAUUGAUGACUAUUCACGCUAUAUGUGGACUGUGUUGUUGAGAGAAAAGCGUGAAGCUUUUGAGAAGUUUAAAAACUUCAAAAUACUUGCUGAACAAGAAACAAGAAACACGAUCAAGACGUUCCGAACUGACAGAGGUGGUGAGUUUGUGUCCAAAGAGUUUCAAGAUUAUUGUGACAAGUAUGGCAUUAAAAGACAUCUAACCGCACCGUAUUCACCGCAACAAAACGGAGUUGUUGAAAGACGUAACCGCACACUCUUGGAGAUGACUAGAAGUAUUUUGAAGCAUAUGAGUGUUCCAAAUUAUUUAUGGGGAGAAGCUGUAAGGCAUGCUACUUAUUUGAUCAAUAGAAUUGCAACAAGAUCCCUAGUCAAAUCAACUCCAUACGAAGUCUUUAAAGGGAGAAAGCCAGAUCUUGCGCAUCUUAGAGUGUUUGGUUGUAUUGGGUAUGCAAGAACAGAAGCUGUUGGAAGAAAGAAACUAGAUGAUAGAUCAAAAGCUUUAAUUUAUCUCGGAAGAGAGCCUGGAUCAAAGGCAUAUCGUUUACUCGAUCCUACAACCAAGAGAAUAACAGUGAGUCGGGAUGUUGUAUUUGAUGAGAGUAAAGGUUGGAGUUGGAACAAAGAAGCUCAAAGUAAUUCCGGAUCUUUUAUUAUUGAGCUAGGCGAGUUUGGUAAUAAGGGUAUAAGAGAAAUCAUUGAUAUACCCGAAACAGAGGAAGAAAUUGAAACAGAGGAGAACCCACAUGAUACUCAAGUUGUGAAUGAGGACGUGUUGAAUGAAGAUCAGGAAGAGAACGAAGAGAACAACGGUGAUAAUGAACUCAACGAUGAUGAUGAGCUAGAACAGCCACAACCGUUGUUAAGGAGAUCCAAAAGACCGAGAGUGCAACCAAAAUAUCUAAGUGAUUAUAUUCUCAUGGCAGAGGCAGAGUGUGAAAGGCUUCUAACGGUGAUAAAUGAGGAGCCAUGGGACUAUAAUGAAGCAAAAGAAUCGAAAGUGUGGAUAGAAGCAUGCAUGGAAGAGAUUUCUUCGAUAGAGAAAAAUAAAACGUGGAAUUUGGUUGAACUUCCCAUUGGAGUGAAACCAAUUGGCCUAAAGUGGGUGUUUAAAAUCAAAAGAAACUCUGAUGGAAGCAUUAACAAGCACAAAGCUCGCUUAGUGGCUAAAGGAUAUGUUCAAAGACACGGUAUUGACUUCGAUGAAGUGUUUGCUCCGGUGGCACGUAUUGAAACUAUUCGGUUUAUUAUUGCUUUAGCAGCUUCAAAAGGCUGGGAAAUACAUCACUUGGAUGUUAAGACCGCCUUUCUCCAUGGAGAAUUGAAAGAAGAAGUUUAUGUUCAACAGCCCGAAGGAUUUGUGGUAGAAGGAAGUGAAGAAAAAGUUUACAAGUUGAGUAAAGCUCUCUAUGGCUUGAGACAAGCACCUAGAGCUUGGAAUGACAAGUUAAACAAGAUUCUUAGGGAAUUAAAUUUUGAGAGGUGCUCAAAGGAGCCAUCGUUGUAUCAAAAGAAAGAGAAAGGACAUCUACUUGCGGUUGCGGUUUACGUUGAUGAUUUACUUGUUACGGGAUCUUGUAUGAAGGCAAUUCUGGUUUUUAAAGAGGAGAUGGCAACCAAGUUUGAGAUGAGUGAUCUUGGAAGACUAACUUAUUAUCUUGGAAUAGAAGUGCAUCAACAUGAAGGAGGGAUAAGUUUAAAACAAGAAAGAUACGCUCAAAAGAUUUUAAGAGAAACGGGUAUGGACGAUUGCAAUCUUUCUCAUAUUCCUAUGAAUUUAAACUUGCAGUUGUCAAAGUCUAAAAACGAGAAGACAAUCGAAGAAAAGGAAUUUAGAAGAAGCAUUGGAUGUCUACGUUAUCUAAUUCAUACACGACCGGACUUGUCUUAUAGUGUUGGAGUUUUAAGUAGAUACAUGCAAGAUCCUAAAGAAUCUCAUGGAGCAGCCUUGAAGCAAGUGUUGAGAUAUCUACGGGGAACUGUCUCUCUUGGUCUCUUGUUUAAACGUUCGGAGAAGAUGAAGUUGGUGGGUUACAGUGAUAGCUCACAUAACGUUGACGUAGACGAUGGUAAGAGCACGUGUGGUCAUAUUUUCUAUCUUGAUAAUUGUCCAAUUACUUGGUGUUCACAAAAGCAAGAAACGGUGGCAUUAUCUUCUUGUGAAGCCGAAUUCAUGGCUGCUACGGAGGCGGCUAAACAAUCAAUUUGGCUUCAAGAACUUCUAAGUGAGAUCAUCGGAAAAGGCUGUGAAAAGGUGACAAUACGGAUUGACAAUAAAUCUGCGAUUGCACUAACUAAGAACCCGGUGUUUCAUGGACGUAGUAAACAUAUACAUAGAAGAUAUCAUUUCAUACGUGAAUGCGUCGAGAAUGAACAAGUAGAAGUAGAGCAUGUUCCCGGUGAAGAACAAAAGGCGGAUAUCUUGACAAAAGCACUUGGAAGGAUCAAGUUUAAAGAGAUGAGAGAUCUCAUUGGAGUUCAAGAUGUGAGAGAAGAUAACUUCAAGCUUAAGGGGGAGAAUGUUGGCCUAAGCUUGAAGUUACUUGAACAAUAAGUUAUCUUUGAGAGAGAUUAGGAAAAGUACUAUUUAGGAGUUAUCUAAAUAUGUAAGUUUUACUUUUGAGAAUUGGAAAACUCUUCUCUAUAUAAGAAGAUGCUAAGGUGUAGCAUAACUUAUGAGUUUUGAGAAUAGAGAUUGAGUGCUUAGGUUUUGAGUUAUUUUCCUAAGUGAUUAAUAAAGAGAGUUAUUCUUUGUUGAUCUUUGUGUUCUUAAAGCUUUUGCCAAACUAGACUCUUGUCUUCCUCGACCUUCUCUGAAGAAAUCAGGAUCAGCCUCCUACGUUCCCGGCCUAUGAUAUCUCCCCUCUGGUGAUUAGCUUGAAGAAUCUGAAUCGAUCCACCAUUGGUAAAUCUACAAUAUGGUGGUUUCGCUCAAUUGAGGUAAGGAAAGAGGUGUAUAUCACAUCCGCAUCUUCCGCUCUGUGGGGAGUUUAUGAUUUGAUUUGAGCUAUGGGCAGAUAUUCGCGCAGGUAAUCAGAUCCGCCAUCAUCUUCAUUGGUAGGUCAGAUGGUUAAAAGAUCCAAAACACAUAGGCGCCUAGCAGUGGCGCAAUAACCCUUUCAGGGAUAGCCUCAGCAAAAAAAAAGCAUAGGGCUAGUAAGUGCUGAAUUUAUACAUGGGUCUCGUGUUGUUGUCUUUGUCGCUGCGUUGUUAUGUUAUCGUCCCUUUGACAGAAAAUUAAUGGUUUCGGGAAGCUGACGGGCAAGAAGAGAAGAAGAUGUAAACCUCCAUUGAAACCAUGGAUUUCAAAGUUGAAACCCUAGCGUCAAAAUAUAGUGCAAUAGAGGAUAUUUAAACCAAAAUUACUAAAAUCAAUAAUGGAAAUCUGCUUUGGCAAAAAUUUAUACCGUUAAAAUUGGGAAACAAGGCUACCAAGUCGCCGACGUUACGGUUACACCGAUUUCAACCAAACCCCAAGCUUCCUGCUCUUAGUUUCUGUUCUCCACGUUCAUAGAACAUGUUCUUCUUCACCCGAAUUGUAGGUUUAGUGAGAAACUAAGUGGAUUGUACUUUCUUUGAAGGAUAAGAGAAGAAUCACAAAGAAGCGAAAAAGAGGAAGAUGGAGAGAGAUAGAGAUACCGUAUCUUUAUGGCUUAUAAUUAUUGAAAUCUUAUUGUGGUCAGAAGAGCAUAUGAAACGUUUUGAUUAACAGUGGAAUAGAUGGGGACGCUUCAGUUGCUCUUUCGAAGUGAUUCUGAAACGUUUGUAAACGGUAUUGAAAGUUGGAGAUCGUAGGUGGCUGCUAUAUUAAUUGGCUAAAAGAGUUAAGCUGCUGAAAGUGGAAACUAUUAUGUACACAUGUCAAGCAUUUACGCGCAGACGUGUCACUCUACGGGAGAGAGUCACCUCCUUUUAUAUAUAUGAUUUUUCAUCGCUAAAACUAUAAAUUUAUUGCUAUAUUAGUCUUGAUGUCCAUAUGAUAUCGACACAUAUAGCCGACUUGCAAAAAAAAUCACCUACUAUCCAAUUCUAUUAUGCGAAGAACUUUGUCCUGAACUUCAAUCAACGAAGGUCAAUCAGUUGGAUUUGGAGAAAUAUAUAAUUCUCUUUCGCCUCCUUCAAUUUAAGUAAUGAAACUCUCCAUGGCAGAUUCAAAAUGAUGCCAAAGUUCAAAAACAGACGAUACCAAAGCUAUAUAUGUCAACCUGCAGUUCGAAAAGAUGUUUUUGCAUAGCAUUUCAUAAGCGAAACCACCUUAUACCAUAUCAUCAUGUCUCUAUAUAUGCACAUUCAAAACUAGAAAAGGAAAAAAAAAACAUACAUACCAAUGAAUUGUAACUCGUCAGAUUCAGCGAGAUAUCGUGAUGUGAAUGAUGCAUUACGUUUAGAAGAUCGACAAAGUUUCCUUGACCAGCUUCCUAUAUAUUCCUCAUUAGAACUGGUCUUUGGCAUAAGCCAUACAAACAGCUAGUCAUUUUUAAAAAUAUAAAAUUAUUUUGUAAAAUAUUUGUAGCUUGGUGUGUACAUUUGUACACUCCAUUUGUUUAUUAUUUCUUUUUUUUUUGUCGUUUAAUGAACAUUUCUCUAGUUUUUUUUUAACGUAAUUUUUUGUGACGGAACUACAAUGUUUUGUAGGUUUAUAAAGUAAUUAAACAAAAAUAAACUUACAAAUGUAGGUUUUAUAAAACCCAUUAUUACAUUACAAAAAGAAUAGGAAAGAUUGCACUUAUUAGAUUUUCAAAUCAAUGAUUAUUAACACUAUUUCAACUGAUAUGAAAAAGACCUACCAUGGAAAACAGCUUUUUAAAAAGAAAAUCCGACGACAAUGUGGGUAAUUAUCUUGAUUUCUUAGGGAAAUAGAGAAUGGAUUAAGAUUAAUUGGAGUCGUGUCAAGCAGCUCGUUAAUAACUGUAGCAAGUUGACUGAGUAAGCAUCAACGUGUCAUCUCCACAAAGCCCAUUAUUUCUAGUCUCGCCGCGUCUUCUCUUCCACGUAGCACUUCACUUUUUUCUCCUUUUGUUUCUUUUGAACCCAAACGUUUCUAUUUAUAGGAAUUAAUUAAAGUCGUCCGUAUCUGUGUCGGAACAUAGAACCAAAAUAGAAGCAACAGCGUUCGUUCUUUUAAAAAAUGGCGUCAAAGCAACUUAGCCGAGAAGAGCUCGAUGAGAAGGCGAAGCAAGGAGAGACCGUCGUCCAAGGUGGCACCGGCGGCCACAGCCUCGAAGCCCAAGAGCAUCUUGCUGAAGGUAUUGCCUUAAAUUUCAACUUUUCGACACUCUUUUUUUAUUUUCUUUAACUUGUAACUAAUGGUUAUAUAAGGCUAGAAACAUUAGAUAUUAAUCUUAAUAUAAGAUUAUAAUCUAUGUAUUAUACGCGACUAUAACGUAAAGUUUACUCUUAAGACCUCCAUGUUUCAUGGAACACAUGUGUUAACACUUGGUAGGAAGGAGCAAAGGAGGAGAGACGAGGAAAGAGCAGCUAGGGCACGAGGGUUAUCAGGAGAUGGGAUAUAAAGGAGGAGAGACGAGGAAAGAGCAGCUAGGGCACGAGGGUUAUCAGGAGAUGGGACAUAAAGGAGGAGAGACGAGGAAGGAGCAGCUAGGGCACGAGGGUUACCAAGAGAUGGGACAUAAAGGAGGAGAAGCGAGGAAGGAGCAGCUAGGGCAGGAGGGUUACCAAGAGAUGGGACAUAAAGGAGGAGAAGCGAGGAAGGAGCAGUUAGGGCACGAGGGUUAUCAGGAAAUGGGACAUAAAGGUGGAGAGACGAGGAAGGAGCAGUUAGGGCACGAGGGCUAUCAGGAGAUGGGACGUAAAGGAGGAGAGGCGAGAAAGGAGCAGCUAGGUCACGAGGGUUAUCAGGAGAUGGGGCGCAAAGGAGGACUCAGUACAAUGGAAAAAUCUGGUGGAGAGCGUGCCGAGGAAGAAGGGAUUGAGAUCGACGAGUCCAAGUUCACCAACAAGUGAUAGUAGCUACUAGCUUGUAGUGUCCGCUGCUACAAUCCGUAGUAGAUAAUCUGAAUAAGUAACCUUGUAAGUUAUGUGGUUGGCAGCGUGGGUUUUAACUAGGGUUUGAAUGUAGUGCGUUUGGUUUUUUUUUUGUGUUUUAUGUGUGAUAUAACUACGCACGGCUUCUACUAACGGCAGGAUUGUACCGCUCGGAAGGUUUUUUGAGUGUUUGGUGAGGGUGCAAUCAAAUGAUAUGUGUAUGUUUUGAAAUGUGGUUUUACUCGGUGUUCUACUUAUUAUUAUGUUUUGAAAUGUGGUUUUACUCGGUGUUCUACUUAUUAUUAUUAUAAUUAUUGGUUCAACAACGAGAGCCUUGAUAUGGUGAGAUUGCAUAUCAAAUGGGUGUGAGCUGAUCAAGUGGAACAUUAUAACUUUCCAACAUUCACUAUAUGUAUGUCAAGUCUAUUCUUUAAGGUAAUUGUCCUCCUCCACAAAUCGUGACAUGCAGAUUCAAACACACAUAAUUCUCUUUAACGGUAAAUUCUUCGAACUUCUACAUUUUUUGCUCCACUUUAGUAACUUCUUUUUUUAAUUACUCCUAUAGAAGCCAGUCAAAAUGAUAUACUUUUUUACUACUCACAAAGCUGUGGAAUCAAAUGUUUCCUUGUUUUUUUAUUAUUUUUUGCCAAGGUUCAUUCUCUAGGUCCUUAUUGUAACACCUAAACUUUUCAUCUAAUGAUAUUAACUUUCUUAUUAGCAAAAAAAAAGCUGUGGAAUCAAAAGAUACAGUAAUGUAGUAAUAACACAGUUUCAGGUUGUUAAAAACAAUGACAUAUGUACGUAUAGUAUAGUUUUGAAAAGAAAAAAAAGUAUACUCUAGUUUUUGUAGUUUUCUCAAGAUACACAUGUGAAAUGUACGAUAUUAGUUGGGUUCUUCUUAACCGUACUAGUUGUUAGAAUAUAGAAAGUGAGGAAGUAUCAAUUUUUAUUAUUACUGUUUUUAUGUGGUUUAUGUUUAGAAUCAACACAAAAAAUGCUGAAAAUAGUUAAAACACUAUAGAAAACAAAAACGAUUCUGAACGCAGAUUUAAGUGACAGAAUAAUAUGCCUGUCUUAUUUCGAGAGACAUUAGUAUAGUAACCACAGAAAGUGUAGACUAACAAAACCCCAAUCAAUUACAGUUUCUCAGCCGUUCGGCUAAAUUGAUACAACAAGAGUUGUCUCUAGUGGAUGGUACAUAUAUUUUACAAUAUCUUAAACUAGUUGAUGCCAUCACUUG